rnacentral:lncRNA from 1 species
CCAUGAUUAGGUAACGGGUUCCCAUCAACACUCGAACUGUCUUUUUUGGCAAAAUUUAAAAGCCCUGCCUUAAUGAGCGCUUGAACUUUAUGUUUUAAAGUAGUGCAAUUCUCGGUGGAGUGCCCUUGAAUUCCAAAAUGGUAAUCACAAUGUGCAUUCGGAUCAUACCAUUUCGGGAAAGGUGGUCGGAGUGGUUCUAAAGGGGUUCGAGCAAGGAGUCGAUUUUCUAUGAGUUGUGGCAACAAUGUAGUGUAAGGGACUGGAAUAGGACCAAAGUUUGAUCUUUCUAGGGUAGUUUUAGGUCCUCUUUGACCAUGGCCAGGAUUAUUGGUUGAAGCUACCGGUCUUGGUGGUGGAGUUUGUGGAAGAACAUUGGUUUGAAAUGUUGGUUGCGGGACAGGUUGGUACACAUAUGGGUUUUGUGUGAUGUUGCCUAUGUUUGGAUAGAAGGGUUGGUAUGGGGGGUACGGGUAAUAUGGGUUAAAGUUGUGGGCUUGUUGGCUAUCAUGAGCGACUGCUUGCACAUCCCCUUCUUUCUUCUUGGGCGUACUCCCUUUCUUUAAGCUGGCAACUUCAUGCCCUUCAAUUUUUCCACUUUUGAUAGCUCCUUCUAUUAUUUCUCCCGAUAAGACCAAAUCUGCAAAGUUUUUCGUGGCAUUGCCGAUCAAGCGCUCAUAGAAUGGAGCUCGGAGGGUAUUUAUGAACAAAACAGUCAUCUCCUUAUCAGUGAGAGGUGGCUGAACUUGCGCUGCUGUAUCUCUCCACCUUUGGGCAUAUUCCUUGAAGUUCUCGCUUUGCUUCUUUUCCAUAGUCUGCAAUGACAACCGAUCAGGGGCUAAUUCAGCCACAUGCUUGUAUUGAGCUAUGAAGGCUCUUGCUAAGUCUUUCCAAGUCUUAAUACGGUUUCGAUCUAGCUGUACGUACCACCGAGCAGCUGACCCAGUCAAGCGGUCUUGGAAAAAAUGGAUCAGUAACUUAUCAUCGUGAGACUGUGCAGCCAUCUUCCGACAAUACAUGGUAAUAUGUGCCAUGGGACAUUUUGUUCCGUCAUAUUUUUUAAAUUCCGGAACCUUGAACUUGGCAGGGAUCAAUACAUCCGGCCCUAAGCAUAGCUCAGUUGCGUCCAUGGUACUAAACCUAUCAACUCCUUCGAUAGCACGAAGACGCUCUUCCAAUAAGUCGUACUUCUUCUGGUCUUUUUCAUUUUCUCCUGUUUGCGACGCUCUUCCUGUUUGCGUGGUGGUUGGGGACAGGAUGGGGAAGGGAUGGCUGGGCGUACGCCCAGCCAUCCCCCUUUUUUUUAUUAAUUUUUUAAUAUUAAUUUUUUAUAUUUUAGUUUAUUUUAUUAUUUAUUAUAUAUAUAUAUAUUUUUUAUAGGUGUCUACACACUGCACAUCCAAUUACCAAGUACCUAUGCUAUAACAAACUAUCACCUGCACAUAGAACCUUUACUAUUUCAUUGUCAUCCAUUCAUGAGCCAAGCUCUUACCAUCAAGCUAUGAAUCAUUCUCAUUGGGAAGAAGCUAUGGCUGUUGAGUUGAAGGCCUUGGAAGACAAUGGUACAUGGAGCAUUGUUCCACUACCUCUUAAUUGUCAUGUUGUAGGUUGCAAAUGGAUAUACAAGGUGAAAGUAAAUGCUACAGGUGAAGUUGAGAGGUACAAAGCACGGUUGGUGGCUAAAGGCUUCAGUCAAAUUACAGGUUUUGAUUACCAAGAAACCUUUAGUCCUGUGGCUAAACAAACAACAGUAAGGGUUUUCUUUGCUCUAGCUGCUGCAAACAAUUGGCAUCUAUCUUAGCUUGAUAUUAACAAUGCCUUUCUGAAUAGGGACCUAGAAGAAGAAGUUUACAUGGAACUGCCACAAGGGUAUUCUGUUCAGGGGGAGUAUCAGACAAGUUCAAAGUUGGUUUGCAAGCUUCAUAAAUCCUUAUAUGGACUCAAAUAAGCAUCCAGACAGUGGAAUGCUAAACUCACUACCUCAAUUCUACAGUUAGGCUUCACACAAUCAACAUCAGAUUAUUCUUUAUUUACCAUGAAGGCAAACAAUGGGAACUUUGUGGCAAUUUUAGUCUAUGUUGAUGAUAUUCUGAUAGGGAGUACCUCAGCUCAGGCAGCAUCUAAUGUCAAAGGAUUUUUGAGUUCACAAUUCAAACUCAAAGAUCUUGGUAAAGUCAAGUUUUUCUUGGGACUUGAAAUUGCUCAAUCUCCAGAAGGCAUAUCCAUAUGCCAAAGAAAAUAUACUCUGGAUUUUUUGGAAGAGCAUGGUCUGCUAGGAACCAAACUUGUAAGUACUCCCAUUGACUACAAUCAUAAGUUAUGCAAGACCAAGGGGGAGCAAAAACUGCAUGAUGCUACCAAAUACAGACAACUAGUCCAAAAAUUAUUAUAUUUAACCUUUACCAGGCUUGACAUCUCCUAUGCAGUGCAAGUUUUAUCCCAGUUCAUGGAUAAACCUAGCAGUGAACAUUUCAUGGUAGUUUACAGAGUUAUGAAAUAUCUUAAAAGGGCACCAAGCCAAGGUAUCCUAAUGAAGUCAAAGUCUGAUAUGAGAAUUUCAGCUUAUUCAGACAGUGAUUGGGCAAGAUGUCCUGACUCUCGAAAAUCAAUCACAGGUUUUGGUAUUUUCAUUGGAGAUUCUCUCAUGAGUUGGAAGUCAAAUAAGCAAACCGUAGUGGCUAGAAAGUCAGCAAAAGCAGAAUACAGGUCUAUGGCUUUAACCUGUUGUGAAAUUAUUUAGUUGCAAUACCUUCUGGUAGACUUUGGAAUCAGUCACAAGGAAGUAGUAAACCUCUUCUUAGACAGUCAGUCUGCAAUACACAUUAGCAAGAACCCAGUCUUUCACGAGAGGACAAAACACAUUGAAAUGGAUUGUCACUUCCUUCGUGAAAAGGUCUUAGCUGGGAUAAUAAAGCCUAUGCACAUUUCAACUCAAUUACAGAUAGCAGACAUUUUUACCAAGGCCCUGCAGCCAAAGCAAUUUUACAAAUUAUUAGGCAAGAUGAGUGUUCAUGAUAUUCACUCCUCAUCUUGAGGGGGAGUAUUAGACACAGUUAGUUGAAUAAGGCUUGCAAGUUAGAUAAGUGUACAGAAGAUAGCAGGUCGGGGUUGAAGGAGAGAAGGCACAAGUAGACAGACAUACACACCAUUUCAAUAAAAGCCUUCUACAACUACAGCAAAGUGCACCGUUUUGUUAAUAGAGUUUUUUAGUUUUUAAAAGUUAGUUAAAAGAUUGAUUGUUAGUUAUAUUAGUAUUAGCUUUUCUCUGACUAACGGAGACUCUGUAUAUAAAUUCUACUGUAAAAAUACCUUUUUGGGGGUCAUGAGAAUUCUCUGACAUUCUCUCAUUCUCAUGCGCCGCCUCUUCGUCUCUCUCUCACUCAGUAUUCAUCAAUCUUCAAUACUUCGAACUCUCUUAACAAAUUUAGGACUUGUAUUUAAUAGGUCUUAUAACCACCAUUCAAAUCAACCUUCAACCUGUCCCAUGCUUCUUUGACAGACUCACAAUCCAUUGUAUGAGUAAACAUCGAGUCAGAAAUAACAGAAUGGAUACAGGAUAAAGCUUUAUACAUUUUCGUAAUUUUUUCGCUAUGCUGCUUUAACUGUGCGAUUGUUGGGUUUGAUUGUCUCAUCUCGAGAGAAUUUUCACCAACUUCAACGAUUUCCCAAAGAUCGAACGCACGAAGAUACGCCUUCAUUUUUACUGCCCAUAUUGGGUAGUUUUCUCCCUUAAAAAUGAGUGGAGCAGCGACAUUGAAAUUUACAAAGGUCAUUUUCUUGGUAUUUCAAAAAUAGAUAGUAAAGGGUAAGGAAGAAAAACUAAUGAGGAUUUUUUAAAGUGAUUUUACACCAACACAGUCUCUUAAGAUAAUUGCUCUGAUACCAUGUUAGAAUUUUUAAGUAUUCUUAAGAGAAAGCUCAAAAAACCAAAAGAGAGAACUAUCAAUAAAAGGAAGAAGAUAACAAUUACAUUAAAAUUUUUAGUAAUUUAAAUACAAGUAGUUAACAAAGGAAAAUAGAAAGCAAUAAAAUCGAAACCACUUAAGCACUAAAUGUGUUGUAGAUAGUUCCUUUACAUCAUGGUUAGUGGGUACACAACAUGUAGCAACUAAGAGAAAUAAAAGAAAAAACACUGAAAGCAAUUAUCAACCAAUAAGUUAGUGGCGUCAGGUGAAGGUUCGUGCCUCCUUCUAGCCCCAUGUUCUACAACUUCAGACCUCAAUUUCAACAAAGUGUUAUAGAUAAUAUGAGGAAGCAACAAUAAAUCUUGAACCAGACCAGCAUAGUCAUCUACCUCUGCGAACCAUUCAAGCAGAAUAUUGGUGCUACCUUUCACAUAAGAAUAUUUUCUAGGAAUGGGCAAUGCUUUGCCAAAACUUGUAAUAGAAAAAUGCUUGAGAAGAAAACCCAUCAUGUGAACAAUUAAGAUAAUCACUAGAAUUUUCUUAUCUCUAUGGAUUUGAACUUUUUGUUUGAUGCAAGAUUUUAAUACUAUCUGCGAGAGUCUUAUAGUAAGAAACAUUGCAACAAACUGUUGAAAAGUAAUUUACAAUUUGGUAAUAAAGGUGUUUGAAGAACAAGUGGGAAGCUUAAGCUUUGAAGGUGAAGAAAGGCACUAAGAGCAAAAUGAUGGCAUUUCUUGACUGGAUAAGCUGAGUUUUUAAAACAUGUCGUUUUAUUCUUCUGUUCUUUUUAAGUCUAUUAUAUACAAAAUGAUGUUGCUUAUGUCAUUUGGUUUAGUUUACUUGAGUCUUGUACGCAUCUUAUAGUGUUGUUUUAGCAUACUUUCCAUUUUCUAUUUCAAGACUUUUUUUUUUUUAACUUUCAAAAUAUAUAGAUGAAGCAGGGGAACCAGAGUUCACCCCAUAUAAUCAUUUUGCCAGGUUAUGCCCCUUUACUAUAGGGGUAUACCACGGUAAAAUCAUUGACAAAAGUUAAAGACCCCUGUACAUAUUCAUAGCAACACCUCUCUAUACACCCAUUAGAGCCAGUAAGUCAACCCUCAACAGCUCUUUGUUCCACUACAAAAAGAUAUGGAUACAGAACAACAAAAGUCAUAAAGAAAAAGCCAUAUCCCCAAAAGGGGACAUUCAGAUCCCUAAAUCAACACCAACCUACAUAUCAACUCACACUUAUAUAUCAAAAUGAGAGCAAGUUUCAUCCAUUAUUGCCAUUCUCAACAGAUGCAUUAUUCAGAGCCUCUAUCCAAAUAUUCACCAGAUCAAUUUCUCUUCCUAUACUAGUUUUAGCUAGGAUAUCGGCUUGAUGGUUUGCCUCCCUUCAUAUAUGUUUAAUUUCCCACAUUUUCACCUUUCUUUUCAACAUUUCAAUUUGAAGUAUCCACUUUCUCAUUCUUUAAAGAGCAUGGUUUGGUGCUGGUAUCCAUCUCACCGCAUUUGUGGAGUCACUCUCAACAAUCAGAGAAUGAGAACAAUUCCAGUUUGAAGCAGAGAACUUCAUAAAAGCUUGUCUUAUGGCCAACACUUCCGCUAAAUUAGAAUCUCCCAACCCUAUUGACUUGGAGAACAUCAUUUUGGUUUCUCCUACAGAAUUUCUGAGGAUCCCACCAAUUUCAGCUUCCCCGACGCUUCCGCUAACAGUUCCAUCAACGUUGAACUUCAUAGUAUUUCUGCAGGAUUCAUCCAUUCAACCUUAGGUCUUGUCUUUUUGACAUAGUUAAUAAUAGCCCUUAACCAUGGCUCGUUAAAGGUUUCCAGAUUCUUGCCAUAUUCCCUUAGCCAUUUGGCCUUUGCUCAUGUGGCAACUCUCAACUUCAUCAACUCGUAGAUCUGAGCCUGGUCCCAAGUUUUAUCUCCAAACACAAUGUCGUUCCUAGGCAGCUAGAGAGACCAAAUCACCACAAAGAAUGCCAUUUUUCAUAUUUUGAUUUCACCUUCCUUAAUUGCCACGACAUUCCAAGACUCAAAAAAUGUGGUUAAAUUAUCUAGUUGGACCCAACUUACAUUCCACUCCCUGCACCAUUUAGCCUAGAUAUGCCAUGAUUCAAAUAAGUAGAUGAAAAUGUGGUUAAUUGUUUUAAUAACCUAGUGGCAGAGGGGGCAGAAUGCUAAAUUCGUACUCAUCAGCCCCCUCUCACAAGCUUCGCCUUAACAGCAGCUCUUCCGUGGAGGAUUUGCCAUAUGAACAUCUCGACUUUAAGUGGAGCUAGGUUAGCCCAAACUUGUCUCCAUGUGCUUCUACCACCACUAUCGUUAUCCAAUUGGUGUCUACAGAACUCUUUGACAGAGAAAUCACCUGAGGGGGUACCUUUCCAUAUAACAGUAUUGUGUAUUUCUGCAGACAGAUGAUAAUCAUUCACCAUUGCCGUGAAUUGCUUCCAUUGUUCUUCCUCCCAUCCGAACACCCUUCUACGCAACAUUAUCUCCCAUUUCCAUUCAUUGUCUUGCCAAUGUCCAAACUCUUGUAUCUUCCCCAUUUUGUUGAUAGCUAAGAUUGGGAAAGUGUUUUUAAGGAUGAUUGCUUCGAUCCACUCUUCAAACCAGAAUAAAACGCUACUGCCAUCACCAAUCAGUCUACAUAAGUUGCUGAAAACCUAUAUAAAAUAAAGAUUAGUAGGGGAAAGGGGGGAUAAAAUAUUUUUCAAGACUUAACAGCCAUGGUUUGUCUGUUACAUUUUACCGUUGAGCUAUUCAUUGGUUAGUGUGAAAUUUGUUACUCGAUACGGUUCAUUUGAGUUGUCAAAGUAUAAAUACUGGAAGAAAAAUGAAAUCUCUACUUUUUUACCAAAUUUUGUUCUACUGCUCUGAAUGUUUCUUUGCUUCAUCUUCUUCUUUGCUUUAGUAAGAUACUGUUUCCAUUGAUUUACCUGGAAAACUUAGCUUCUAUUUUCUUCAAUAAUAAAAGGAAUUUGGCCAAGCUGUCAACUACAUCAAACCGUUGAAACUUGUUGAAAUUGUUUGAUCUGAAGCUGUUAGAUUGUAGCACCUUCCAUCUGAAAAAAAUUUCAUUUCCAGUGAUGAGAGGGAUACAGUAGCCAAGAGCCUGGAUAACAAGCAUGGCAAGAGACUUCACUGCAUGAAACAGUAUUCUUGGAGUAACGCAUCUAGCUAUGUGUGCAAAGUAUUGACAAAGUGAGCAUUAGAAUUCGUAGUAUGCCCUCAAAAGUUCUUCGGAAGACUAUGUCCUUUGUUUUUUUAAUGUAAGAAACUGGAUUAGUUUUUAGGCUGAGUUGACUGAAAUAAAGGGGGUCUUCCUCACUUCUUUUGCUGCUGAAGGAGAUUUUUACAGUUGGAUUCACUAGCCACCAUGCAUUUUCAGGAUUAUACUCUACAAUGACUUCAAACUGACAAUCCAGUCCUCUUGCAAGGUUAGUUCCCAACUUUGAGAUCUUUGGAAGAUAUCGAACAUCCCUGAAACCAACUAAGUGCAUCUUCCCCAAAAUCCGGUCAUAUAAACCCUCAAAGGACAGUGAAAUAUUGUUGUAGUGUUGACUAGUAAUUGUGAGAUGCCCUGAAAUUUCAAUUAUUUCAGUAUUAGAAUUACAUGACCCCUCAAUCUAUUUAUCAGUGUUCCUAUUGUGCUGAUACCAGUAUUCUCCAAGAAGUGAACCUAUGGAGUAACAAACUUGGCAAACAAUGGAGAAGUUGAGUUCGGACUCAUGGAUUCCUAUCUUUCCAUUUUGGUAUGUAAAAGAGGAUCCCUUAUAUGUUCAAAAAAGUUCACAAGCAGCCUUAUUGAAGUAAAUCCAAGGUAAUAGGCUUCCAUCAGGGAUCUAACAUGUGUUGGCAUCAAUAGAUUGCUAAGAAUCUGAGGAAGCAGAAAGUAGUCUUGAAGAAAAUAGAGAUAAUCCGCUAUUACGAUCACCCAAGUCUGCUGCAUAUGCACAUUUUUUGGUGCAUGCAUGCCCUCUCCAGGCUGUAGGCGCACAUCAGGAUUAUCACGAGCAGCAGGCCAAAUAAGAAAUCCGAAAGUGUGCAUAGCCAUGGUACUCAGUAAUACCUGUUAAUCUUUAGAAGCAUAUCUUAGUUUGGAGGUACCUUUAGACUGAGGCUUGCUUCGAGAUUCUGUUACCAUCUGAAAAACUCUUGCAGUACGUAGUAAGGCCACUAACAAAAGAACAUUUCCGAAACUUUCAAGAACUUUCAACAUUCCAGACGCAGGAUGACCACAGCCCGCUCUGUAAGCUUCAGGAUCCUUUGAUUUGAAGAGAACUUUGGCACCACAGAUCAGUGGAAGACUAUAUCCGAGGAUCUGAAAAGCAAGCAUGGAAAUAGAAAUGUAAGGAACAAUGUUUGCUUCUUUCUUCAUGUAUAAGAGCUGGCUCGAUAUGAUUGCAAUUUACCCAGCAAGCAUUAGAAUGCAAAGAAUCCCUUUGAGAGAUUCUCGAUUAGCAACUGUUCCAAGAUAAUCUGGAUAAUGAGUCAAAAGAGCAUGAAGGCUAAUCGAGCUAAAAUAAAGGGAAUCAUCUUCCUGCCUCUAGCUGCUGAUGGUGAUCUUGGCAGUUAGAUUUCUCCACCACUGUAAAUUUUUAGGUGGGUACUGAAUUUUCACUUCAAUUAAACAAUCUUGGCCUCGUUUUAUGUCAAUGCUCUCAACCAAAGCCAUCCUACAUCCAAUCAAAUGCAUCUCACCCAAAACACGAUCAUAUAGACCUUCCAAGGACAAGCUGAGACAUUUUUGUAAGUUGUCUGCUUGUGUUCUUUCGGGGUUUUGAAGACCAGACGCGAAGACACAUUCAAGAACCGGCAGCUUGUGAGAUCAUCUUCUGCAAUGACUGGUUUCUUCUUUAGAUUUCGCUUGUCCAUAUUGGGUUCAUACCGUCUAAAUAAUGGACCUAAAGAAAGCACCUCAAUCUCAAUGAGGAUCCUUGAUUUCUGUCCAUCAGUUAAUUGAUCAGGGACUACAUAGCCAUUUGUAGCAAGACUACUGGACAGUAGGCUUAACUGAGCAAGUGGUUCUUCUGCAUCUUUUAUUGCCGGAUACUGGAAGAGCAACAGCUUGACCAUAGCUAAAAUUUGAUAAGGUAGAGUUCUUCUCCCAAACACGUUGACCAACUUGAUUUUCGAAUAAUUGUAUGAUCCAUUUUCCAAAUCUCUGGAGCUUUUCAUUGCAUUAAAAAAUAAAGGAUUGUCCAAGCUUAUAUCCUUUUUCACGCUGGAUAUGCUUCCAAACAGAAAGCUUCUCUGCUUAAUGGAAAAUGCACGUGGAAAGUACAUGGAAAUUUCAUAAUCACAUCCUUCCAAUCCUGAGUCAACCGUCCCAUGACAUCCAACCAUGAAAGCUGUCCAGAAGAAGAGUUCCAUAUCCCCUCAGCGGCUAAAGUCAACCCUGAAAGACCAGUUCUUAAUACUUCGAAAUGUUGAAAACUUCCUGUGGGAACAGCUCUCAGCACUGCAGAAACCUUUGCAUUGCCAGUUCUGUUAGAAGUGGUAUCUUGCUCACAUUUGACAUGUUGAACAAUGAGCUUAAUGUCGUCAUAACUCAUACCACCAGUGGCCUCCAUCUCCUUCCCGAGCAAGAAAGAACCCAAUUUGCCAUGGAUCUGGCCCAAAUAAUUGCCCUUGAACCUGUAAUUUGGAACAAUAUUUAUAAUUUCUCCAUUAAGAUGGGCAUGUCCUCGACAGAACUCUUCACCAGUAAACAUCAUAGCACCAUCUUCCAUCAAUUCAUCUUGGUAAGGGAAUGGAUCACAAGUUCUUGACCGGAGCAAUCCUAAAUUAAAUUGAUACUUCGAGUGGCCACUCAACUGAGAAGAUACAUAAACUUUACUGAAGUACUUCGACCCUCCUUGUUCAUUUAGACUUUAUCAAUGCUCCCUGGAUUGCUCUUUUGGUCAACUCGAAGGUUUUAGGAUAUCGUAGAACAAGCAAAAUUUGAUCAUCUUCCAAAAAAUGGAGCCGGUGGUUACCGUAAGUGGAAAUAUAGCUGCUUGCAAACUCCGAGAACUCAUCACAGUCACACCUGUUAGUGGAAGGUGCGAUUGAAUUUGAACUUCCUAGCAAACACAUCAAACGUUCUCCUCCAUUCUCUUCGGUCUCCACAUAAAUCCCUUCAAAAGCAAUCAUCAUGACAGAUGAACCAGGAUUCAUAUGAGGCUCUAAGCCGACACCAUAAGGAACAGGAUAUGCCUAAAGAUAUAACCCCUCCGAGACUAAAUGCGUUUUUAAGGUGCUGGAAUGAAUUGACAUCCUUUACCUCAAAGGAGGCCAACUUUAGUGGGGAGGUGAGAGAUUAGCUGCUCGCUGGAAUGCCAUUGUCAUCCAAUUGCAUCAAUGGUGCCCCAUCAUUUUCCUGCUCCCAAUCUCCAAGAUAGAAGGAGAGUUCAUUCUUGAGUCUACCUCCCAUGUUGUCAUCAGGUUUCAAUUCAGAAGCUGAAGUUAGAAAAGAGCUGCAAUGGUUUUCAAUCCCAGCAGAUCGGUCGUAUGCAAUGACAACUGAAGAAUCAGCCAGAGUUUGGUAGAUGUCAUAAGGAGAUGCAAAACUACUGAUAGCACUGGCAACUCUACCAACGGCCAAAAAACAAUAACAAAAAGUUGAACCUUCAUUUCAGGAUAUUUCAGUUGACCAAAAAAAAGAAAAGAAGAACUACAGAAUACAAAGUUCGAGGAAGAAAGCUGCUAAUAUAUAUAUAUAUAUAUAUAUAUAUAUAUAUUAAAUAUAUAUAUAUAAGAUAUAUAUNNNNNNNNNNNNNNNNNNNNNNNNNNNNNNNNNNNNNNNNNNNNNNNNNNNNUAAUAGUAUAUAUAUAUAUAUAUAUAUAUAUAUAUAUAUAUAUAUAUAUAUUGGAUAAUUGAAAAAAAAAAAAAAAACCCCUUUCAAUUGGAGAUGCCAGCAAUUGGGGUAGCUAAAAUGUAGGGCCAAAAUGUCGAAGGAUCGAAUUAAAUAUUUAUGCGUCUGCUGUAACUGUGAGUGGUGCUGAUAAACUACCAGCAAGUGUUCUCAAAGCAAUAGACUUUGAAGGGAUUAAAUAAAGAAAUAAAGAAGGCUCAAGGGUUGAAUGUAGACUAGUGAUGUUAAAAUUAGAUCAAAGGAAGGAGCAGCAUCUUCAAUGGUGGCAAUUUCGAUGCAGAAAGACAGAUAUAACACUUGACAGCCUAGGUGGCCAUGUGCUUGGUAAGAAACAAGCCCAUGUAACCACAUCUCCUUUCCUGAUGCGAAAACAAAAUGGGUACUAAGUUAUAAGCGAAUUCAACCCAAAAGGAAACAAAAACAGAGUCACCCUUUGGUUGGGAAUAAUCUUAUAAUUGGAAACUACUCCAUUGAAUUUUCUCAAAACCAAUGCAGGGCAUCUACUGUUUUUCAGAAGCAAAGUUAGUUAAGUCCGGUUUGACUAUAUAAAAAAGAAUAUAAUAAGCAACAAAUUAAAGUUAUACAUAUUAUAUCACAUUACAAGUACUAGAUAGUUAGUAGCCCCACUUGGGAUAUUACUUCUUUUUUAUUGUUAACAAUUUCAGAACUCUUCUUUCAGCUAGCUGACUCCUAUAUAAAUGCACUCAUAGCAUUUAUUAUAAAUGAAAUAAAUGAGAGAGAAAAAAAAUUUUCUAAACGAACUUUUAACCUUUUCACUGAAAAAAUUAUACAAAUACCUGCCAUAAAAAGGUAUGGCUUAUGGAGGAGUUCCAUCCAAAAAACAAAAAUAAUAUUUAAGACCCUCUGUAAUUUCGAAAGGUUUAAACUUUUAUGUGCUUUCGGCCUAUGAAUCAGCCUACUCUUGCAUAUGGGCUUUUGACCGAUCCCUUGACCGCUAGACAGUGCCAACAGCCCACAGCCCAUGGCUGGCUUUUUCUUGUUUCUGUGGACAUGGCCAGUAUCCUAUACGCUAGUAUCAUAGUAUUAAACCUUAUAAAUGAACUUAUAUGGUAGUGACAUGCUUAUUAGUUUAUUAUUUAAAGGAAAGUUAUAGAACUAAGAUAAUAUAAUUAUUAAAUAGAUACAUGUUAAUUUUAUAAACCAACUUACUAUUUAAUACCAUCUACAUAUAAUAUAUGAUUCAAGAUAUAAAGAAAUUAAUAGCAAAUGGUUAAAUUAUUAGUAUAAGUUUAAGUACUAUAUAGUAACAAUUAUCGAGGUCACUUCCAGGUGUUUACCUUCAAAAUCCAAUACAUCAAUAGGUCAAAUGGCUUUCUUAAAUAAGUGUAAACUUAUCUAAACUUUAGUUGGUAGGAAAGGAAAUGAGGUGUAGGCUAUAGGGAGCUUUAACUGACCAAAAUUCUCAUUGGAUCAGAUAAGAAUAAAACUGUUGAAUUGAGUGGGAUUUUAUUAGAUGAAGUUUUGUAUAGACACAGCUGCACGUGUCAAAGGCGAGGUGACACAUUUAGGUAUAUGGAAUUUUUGUUAUUGUAAUUGAAAGUGUACUUUCUGUUGACACUCAUGACAACAACAGGUCAAAAAAAAUUAAAAAUUAAAAACCACAUUCCUGUCUUCAAUGACACUCUAGUCCCUGCCUUUUUUUUCCGAGUCAUCUUUUUGGUAAGAGGCCGACCAAAGAUAUUCUAAUUCCAUUCUCCACUCUCCUAAUUCAGAUGCUAUAUUUGCAUUGUCUAUUCUUAUCUAUGGUCAAACUACUCUAUAGUAUAGUUCUUGAAAAGGAGUGAUGAUUCUAUGGCAAAACAACAAAAACAGAAAAAAACAACUUUAAUUCAUCAUAUAAUACCCUUAAUUAUGUCAUUUAUGGAUGCAAUUGUGUAUACCCCAUGUUCAUUUAUGUUUAUAUAUGUAUUUUGUAUAUAUGACACAACCAGGGGCGGAGCCUCCUUAUGUGAUGGGGGGCCAUGGCCCCCCCAAAAUUUUAAAAAAAUUUUCAUAACAUAUAAAAAAUUUUAAAUUUUUUAUAUAUUAUAUUACUAAUUCCCUCAAAAUAAUGUUUUAUUUAAUAAUUAAUAUAAAUAAAAAUAAUAAAAUGAUUUCACUUAUCUCACUCAACUUUAAUUUUUUUUAAUUUAUAUCAUUAUUUUUAUUUAUAUUUUUUUUUCAUUUUUAUUCUAUUUGUUCAUAUGUUAUAAGUUCUUAUAAAUAUUCUUCCCUAAAUUUUUACAAACCAUUAACUAUAUUCUUUUUUUUUUUUGUUAUGUAAUAUGUGGUAUCUACCUUCUACUUAUCAUGUUCUUCUUUUUCAUAUUACAUAAAUUUUAUUUUUUAUGAUUUUAAUUUUUAAAAAUUAAUAAAUUAUUAUAUAAUUUUCAAAUAUAAGUUAUAGCAUUACAUUGUUAGUUAAAAUUUCAUCAACAUAUCAUUUUUUUUAUUUAUCUUGAUUAUGUAAGAGGAAACUAACUUGAGUAUAUUUUUUUUAUAUGUUUUACAUUUUAUGUUUAGUUAAAAUGAAAUUCUCUCGAAUAUAUAGCAUUUAAAUAAUUCUGAUUAUAUAAGAAAAAAUUAUUAAUCUUAUAUAUCAUUUUUAACUAUUUAUGUUUUACAAAUUAUAGUUUUAUAUUUAGUUUCAUAUUUCUAUUAUCAAUAUUUUUAUUGUUGAUUGAAUUUAACAUAUUAAUUUUUUAAAAUUUUUAACUCUUAUUCAACUAUGUUUGGCCCUCCCAAUAAAAUUUGGCUAGCUCCGCCCCUGGACACAACCGUUGCUAUCUAAUGAUUGACUUCUUGUGCUUAAUUAUCUUGUUCUAGUUUAUUCUUAGUUUUUUUCAUUUAUGAUAUAGAAAUACUUUUUAAUAAAAACUUAUGGAAUCGUUAUAAAAUUUUUACACUUUAGCACCUAUGGAUAAAAAAGGAGUUCAAGAGAAGCACGUAAAAUCAUUCAAGCUCAUGCAUGCAUGUGUAUAUCGUUCACAGUAAUACAAUAGAAUUUUCUUUUUAUUCCAAUGAUGUCUAUCUUUAUCUUUUUUUUUUCUUUCCCCUUCCUUUUUUUCACCCUCUUUUCAAGUAUUACAACUUUCAACGUCUAAAAUAACUAAGAAACGCACAAACUUUACAUUAAGAUAAGCAUGAAGCAUCCAAAUAAUGCAAAUCCUACAGCUAGCUAGCAAGCAAUUAUCAAUCAAUAAGCAAGUUCUGAUGCUAAAGCAAACUACGACGAAUCUAUCCUAAAUGAAUUAGGGAAUUUAGUAGAACAAUCAGUUUCUCCAUCAGCAAUCACAGUUUUGAUGAUUCGCUCUCAAGGAGAAAACCUUACAACCCGUAAAUGUAAACAUCUUUGGCUUUCCGCAAAGCUUGAGAAUAUUUCAUAUCAUGCAACAUAUAAAAGGUCGUUGUUCUUUUCGAUUCUUUAAUUGAUAUUUCUUCCUUGUUCUUGAACCAAGUUGAAUGGAACUUUGAAUUCUGAUAAUUUUUAUUGAUAACGAAUUGAGUUUUGGAUAUAUAAUUGGAUUCAGAAGAAUAGAAUCUUGUAUUUCUGUUCUGCGUUUGAAAUCCUUUGAUUUCUUCAUGUUAAUAAUUCUAAGAAUCUAAACCCACUCUCAAAGCGCACUAUAUAGUUGCAUUUAUCUGGUCUUUGAACUCUCUUGAUCUUUAUUCUGUCUAAUGAGGUCAAUUACUUGAUUUAAUUGUUAUGCAUUAGAUUAAUUGUUUAAUGCCUGAUGCCAAUUGAAUUUUUUUAGGUAAGGCAAAAUUAAGUGGAUGAGCUAAUCUCCAGUAUCUAAGAAGUUAAUUAAUUAGGUUAAGACCUUACUAUACUAUAUUAAUUACGUUUGGGCUUCAUAUUCAAAUGAAUUUUACAACACAACCCAAUACAUUGCUUGGCAGCUGAGAUUUAGGAAAGAAAUGAAGAGAAAUCAACAGAAUGUGAGAAGAAAAAAUGUUAUUUGGAGUCAAAUAUAUACUUCUAUUUACUUUUUAAAGUUUGAGAGAAGUAACUAAGUAAUAAAUGAAAUUAAUAAUUUAUAGGGUAAAAUACUCUAACACUCUCAAGUUUUAUCCAUAAUUCUACGCAAGUUCAUAAGUUUUCAAAAUAUAUAAUCCAUCCCAAACGUGAAAUGUCUAAAAUACUCUUUUUCUUUCUUCAUUUAUUUUUACUAUUUUUUUUCUCAAGCCAACCGAUAGUGCUCCCUUAUGCUAGUUGAGGGAGUGCAGAUCUCGUGCUCCCCAAGGGAGCCACAUCCCUUAUCUCAUGUUCUCCCUGAGGAAGAUUCAACUGGAGCCAAAUUUAGCGUUCCGAUCGCAGGAAGAGAAAGGGGAGAGAUUUUUUUAAUAGGAGAAAAAAAUAAAAAAUAAAAAAUAAAAAAUUAUAGUUUAUAUAGUGAGGUAAUUUUCAAAAUUAAUGAAAAGUAAAAUUGUUCAAGAAAUAUUACUACGUCAUCAAAAUAACAAAAACAUUAACGAUUGACUAACAGCCAGACUUAUGUGUCUAGCGAAAAAUAUUCUUUUAGACCAGACUGUAUAUUUUGAAAACUAAUAGACAUGUAUGAAAUUAUGACUAAAACUUGAAAGUGUUAGUUUAUUUGACCUUAAUUUAUAAAAUAGGAUAACCCGUUUAUAGAUUAAAAAAUGUUAAUAUGUAUUAAAGGACAUUCACAAGCACCAGACCACCACCAUGCUUGAACUGAAUCAAUUAAAGGCACCAAUCUCAUAAUCUUCAGUAGAACUUAUUGCCAUUGUAUUAACGCUGAGGUGAUGUUUGGUAUUUUAUAAUGCAAUCAUAUUGUAAGGAAUUCAAAUAUAAUUGUAAGAAAUGUGAUUGCAAAAAAUGUGGUUGUUAGAAAAAUAAUAUUGCAACUUUUGGUAGAGUAGGAAAUUAUUGAUAAAAAUGCUAGGAAGAUAAAACUGCAAUCUUUGGUUUAUAAGCAUUAUAUUGAGAAUGUGAUAAUAUUUAUUGAAACUUUUUCAUUUUUAUUGUUUUAGAUAAUUUUUAAAAGUACAUUUCAAAUUUCAUUAUUUUAUUAUUGUUGUUUUAAUUUGCCCUCCUUUUAUUGUUGUUUUUCUCAAUUUCUUCAAAUGUCAUUUGCUUUUUCUUUUUUUGUUAAUCUUAAAUUUUGAAACUGACUCAUGACACUUGUAGACCGAUUUCCUUUAGACUUAAACCAAAAAACCCUGAAACUUUAUUUUUGUUUUAAUUUCCAAAACCCCUAAACUCAUUUUUUCAAAACCAUUAAACCCGAUUCAUCAUAAAACCUAACCCAAUUCAAUUCAUCAAAAACCCUAAACCCAAUUCGACAAAAACCCUAAGCCUAGUUCACCAAAACACUGAACUCAAUUCAAUAAAAAUCUUUUACUCGGUUCAUCAAACCUUACACCAAUUUAAAAAGCCUUAAAACCGAUUUGCUAAACCCUAAAAUUGAUUAACUAACCCUUAAAACCAAUUCAAAAAACCUUAAACUAGUUCACCAAAUCCAGUUCACCACACUCUAAAAUCAUUCAUGAAAUCCUAAAACCGAUUCACUAAAUCCUAAAAUUAGUUCACCAAACUCUAAGCCAAUUUAGACAUAAAAUUAAUUCACUAAACCAUAAAAUCGGUUCACCAAAACCCUAAAACCUAGUUAAAAAAAGUUAAAUUGAUUUAUCAAACCCUAAAAUCGAUUCAUCAACCCCUAAAACUAGUUUGAAAAACUUUAAAACCGAUUCACUAAACCUUAAAAUUGGUUCACACAAAAUCCUAAAACAAAUUCUUUAAAUCCUAAAACCAAUUCACCAACAAGUUUACAAAACCUUAAAAUCAGUUCAUGAAACCCUAAACCAAUUCACCAAACCUUAAAAUCGAUUCACUAAAACCUUAAAAUUAAUUCCCUAAACUUUUAAAUCGAUCGAUAAUCCCUAAAAUGAAGUUAACGAUAGAAAGGAUUUGGCCAUCACAACUCCAUUGCGCCUUGCUCCCACUAUGUUGAGAUUUGAUACGAUAGAUUGCAAACAAAAGUCAGCUUCAAACAUUGGAUUUUACAGUGCAUGAUGUUCACAGGGCUCUCUUUGAUGUUAUUUUAUCUUUUGAGGGUAAUCUAGAGUGCAGCGAUGAUAUGUUAAAAUUUAGAGGCACAAUUCAUAGCCUUAAGGGAGGUUUUCCAUGUUUUAGAAAAAUUAAAUCAAUAGGUUCAUAAUAAAUUUACUAUUAAUUUACUGAAUUUGUAUCAUACUAGAAGGCUUGAGCAGUAUACUUUAAACUCACUUCCUGUAACAUUUGGUGAUUCUUUGUAAGCUAUAGAUCAAUAGAGUUAAUUCCUUUUGUUAAAAAAAAAAUUAAUCUAAACCUUUUCUGUGAUUUAAAACGAUAAGCUUUGGAUCCAACUUUUUUCAAAUCUUCAUUGGCAUAACAUUGGAACGCUUGGCCUUUCAAUUGAAGCAGACCCCUCGAACCCCCAUUCCUCCCCCCCCAAAAAAGAAAAAAACAUAGUGGUCCUUACUUCUCAUAGAGGCUUUCUAUAGUAAAAGGGGGGUUAAGGUAGGCUACAAAAAGUAGCGGAUAGGCUGUUCGCAGAUACGCUUUUGCCCCAAUCUCAACAAACCCAUGUGAACCCCCAACCAAAACAACCAAUGCAUGUACAUCUAAACAAAAAGCGCACGUUUAGCUGUUUGUAUGCUUACAUAAUAGCAUACGUUAAAAGUGGAAAUAUAAACACCUCCCAAUUAAUUUACUCGCAUUUUCAUCCUGAUUAUAGGCUUUUCUAUUGUAUAUAUAGCACCAAUUCAAAAUCAAUAUUUUUACUUAUCCAAAAACAAAUUAAAUCAAUUGCAAAAAUUAAUCAAUGAACAAACAGCAAAAAGGAGGUUUACAAAUAUAGGAUGAACUUUUUUCUUUUAUCAAAAUAAGUUUUUUGAGCUGAUAGACUAGAAAACGAAACAAUGUGGAUGACUAAAUUGACAAAAAAAAAGAAAGAAAAGAGAAAGAAGAUUAUAAUAACUUCAUGAGUGAGGAUGCAAAGUCGCCAAGGAACAGCCGCAAAGGCAGAAGAAUUUUAUUCUAAAUAUGGUAAACUACAUUGGAAACUCCACCAAUUAGUGGACGACACACAAUCCAAAUCCAAAUGUCCCCCUCCUAGAAGAAUUUAGCUAUGUAUUGUAGCAGACGAAUUUCUCUUUUUUUUCUGAAGAAAAGCUAUGUACUAGACCACGGUGCACACAACGAAGAACGCUGUGCUUCACGUUAAUUAAAACCCCACCACUCCAUUUUUAUUUUUUUAUUUUUUGUAGUGGAAAAAUUAAAUAUAUACUAGUAUUAUGAAUAACCCAAUGUUGUUCUAAUUUCGAGAGCCUAUAGUCCAUUUUUGGGUAUUUUGAUAUUUUUAGUAGGAUAAUAGAAAAAGAAAAAGAAAGGAGAAGGGGGAGGGAAUAUUCGGGGCAACAUUUACACCAGACAAAAGGGAUAUUCAGAAGGACGAUAUGGGGGAAUAUCAGCGACACGUGUCACGAGGAGAAUCUCCUUUCCUUUCCUUUGCUUUCCGUUGCUUUCUCUCUCUUUCUCUCGCACAUAAUAACAGAGAAGAGAGAGAAGAGAGAAUCUGCAGAAAAGGCAUGGGUUGGAGUCUUGUACGAGAAGACUGGUUUUAGAUUUUAGAAAGAGACCAACCAUCAUUAUUGCCACUUCUUUCUUUCUCUUUUGCUGCUAAGUGCUAAGAACUAGUAAGAGAGAGAGAGAGAGAGAGAGGGUAAGGGAAUUCGAUGCAGUCUCUUACAGAGACUUUGCCUUUUACUUUCAUGGAAAAGGCAUUUCUUACAGUUUUCAUCUUUCCUUUGGCUGCUCACUCUGGGUCGGGUCAGCUCCCUUAUCUUUACCCGUUUCCUUAUUAUCCUCUCACUGUCUCACAUCAACUCAUGCCAUGCACGCAGGCCAUCAAUAUCCUUUUUUUUCUCCCUUCAACUAUGCAUGGAGCAUGGUAUCCCAUGCAUGCCCAUUAGCAUAUUUUUUCAGCACUAAUAAGUAUAUAUAUCUAUAUUGCAUUGCAUUAUAAAAGUUGUUAAUUAAGCCGUUGUGAUUACUAAAGUUUUGGGUUGGUUUUUUUUUUUCUUAUUUAUUUACAGGAGGAAAUGGGAUAAAGGAUUGUUGGGGUUCGAACUCAAGAUACAUGUCUCACCAACGGUCAUGGUGCCAUCAAGUCAAGUAGCGAAAGGCGGAGUUUUGGAAUUUCUAAGGAAGAGUUUGUUGUAAUCUAAAGCCUUUUGAAGAUGGUUUGAUAAUAUAGAAACAAAGUCACAGUACCCCACCCACUUUCUCCAGCUUUCUUUUUCUUCUCACUAGAAAAAUAGAAGCUUGAGUGUGGCAAGCAUAUGUGCUUGUCGUUGAUUCAUAUGCUAAAUAAGUUUAUGUGCAUUUAAAUAAAAUUAAUACUCUGCUAACAUCAAAAGGUGGCAUAAUUUUAACAAGGUAUAUACAGCUUGUAAAACUUCUAAAAAGGGUACUGGUGUGUUGAAGAAAUAUAAAACACAAUGUAAUACUGAUAGAUCUAUAAAAUUACAAAAGUUCUAGUACUAGUACUAGUAUAUUGUCUCUUUUUCUUUUUUAAGCUAUACUGUUUUCUUUCUAUUUUUCUAUUUGGUCUUUUUCUUUUAAUUUUGUUUCCCCUUUCACAAGUUGCUGCACUGUUACAAAAUGAGGGCUGCCAUGAAAAGUAAAGCAACGAACCAGGUUUGUUCUCCAUUAGGCAUGGAUGGAUCAAGGACAAUAACAAUUAUCCAAGUUUCAAACCAAAAAGACUUGGAAUUCUCCACUUACUUUCAGGUUGUGGGCUGGUCAUGCAUGUUAAGGAAUAUAUAUUAUCAAAUGAAAGGAACUGAAAAGAAUUGCAAGAGUCGUCUGAAUAUAUGUAAUAUAUAUUCACCAGCAGCUAAGGAAUUACUUGAACUCAUAUCAUAUCAAUCGGUUGGCCAUGAUAAUAAAUUAUCUAGAAGAAGGAAAGUCAUUGGAGAGUCCAAAUAUAUUAUGACCCGCCCGGAUCCGAGCCAGGUUCAUAUAUAUGCAUAUAUGACCCCACAAAGGAAAUGUUCUAAUUUGGGAGAGAAUCUUCUUACCUUCCAACCCACUUCACUAAAGUUAGUAGCAGAAGAAGAUUCCCAGCUCUUAAGCUCCUUUAUCAUUCUUUUGGGAUGGGAUUUUUGCCUUUAAGCUUUGUGGGUUGUGUUUAGAGUCGUAGAAUUGGAACUAAGAUAUUCCUUCCUUAGAGGCAAAUAUUAUAUUCUUUUGUGAUGAAUGUUUCAUUUUAGAUUAGAUAUUCUCUUUCCCCUCUCUCUGAAUUGCACUCAAUUUUAGGGCAAUUAUGCAACUUUUGAAACCAUAAAGAAAGUUGCAUUGGUGGAUUGAUACUAAACACCUUCUGAAUAUGUCCUUUCCCUCUCUCUCUCUCUCUCUCCAAUAUGGUGGGUAAAAAUUACUAGAACGUUAAAAAAAAAAAAUUUGGCCCUGGUAUAUGCUCCUUUGCAACCUUUCUCAAUUAAUUAAUCAUGGUAGAAUCAUUUUAUUUUAUUUCAUUUUACUUAAAAAGGAAGAGAGAAUUCUUAGGCAACGAUGCCCUUAAGUACUUUUUGUCCGUACACGUGUCUAACAUCCAAGGUUUUGUUUGGUGAUUAGGUGAGGAUUUUUCUUGGUUAAGCUAGACAAACGUGUGGAUCCUAAUUACCAUAUAGCAUUAGCGUUGCCCACGCAGAAUUUCCUUUUUUGACUUUUGCCAUCGUUUUUACUUCAUUGGGGUCCCAUUGGACAUGGUUCUAACCCUUUAUGAAGUAGAGUCUCAGCCAUGCAAAGAUUCAUUAAUGGUGUUAAGUUAAAGAAAAUUUUGAGGGUACAGUUGAGCAAUACAAAGAAUUAAGAAAUAGUUAAAAUAUUGAAUUAUAAACCUGAAUGAUGCUUUAAAUAUCCUACACCGUUAAUGAAGUUCUCAUUUUAAAAGUAGGAGAAGUGAAGAAUCAAAGGUUUAUAGCUUCACAACAAUCAAAAGUAACAAAAAAAUAAAAAAAAAGAAUUAAAAGAAAAAAAAGUACAAACAGUAAUAAGAAGAAUCAUCUUUUGUGUUGGUGAUUUUGAAUUUCGUACACAGACUAAGCACAUGACCCCUCUGCUGUCAGACCUUCUUGAUUCCUUCUCUCUCUCAAUUUUUAGCUUUUUCUGCCUUUGUUCUUUGCAAGAAGUUACCAUCCCUCUGCUUUAUCCCCCCCCUUAGCUUUUCCUUUUCCUCUUUCUCUCUCUAAAACCCCUACUUUAUUCCUCUUGAACUCACCCCUAAAAGACGAUCCUCCCUCGAUCCUCCUUGUGUUCACAAACAACAUACCUUCGCUUUCUCUCCUCAUCUCUCUCUCUUUGAAUACUCAAAACCUAGAAAGCAAAGCCGACCACACACUCUCUCUUUUGCUCCUUCGUUUGUUUGUUUGUUUGUUUGUUUGUUUUUCCAUAGAACAGCCUUAUUAUUGUUGCUAUUAUAGCAUGAGCAAUAUUGUUCCAAACAACAACUUUUGCUGAGAAAGAGAGGUUUUCUUGCUGUCUUAUACAUCCAAAAAAAACAAAACAUAUAUGGCAUCACCUUCUGAACUAACCCUUGACUGCAAACCCCACAGUUAUUCUAUGCUAUUGAAAUCUUUUGGUGAUCAGCAGAUUGAUCAAACCCAGAAGCUUGAAGAAUUCCUUUCUCGUCUUGAGGAAGAACGCCUCAAGAUCGAUGCUUUCAAGCGAGAGCUUCCCCUUUGCAUGCAACUUCUCACCAAUGGUACGUAUGAUCAUUUUUUUUUUUUUUUGCAUUCUUCUUGGUAAACAGAAAAGGUUUAUCCAAGGAUCUACUACAUGCCAGGAUUAAUUUUACCUUUGAUUCUUGAAAUUGAUAAUAUAUUAAUGGUUUAAUAAUAGAAUCAUCAUCACCUUAAGAUCCAAAAUGACAAUAAAGAAAUUCUUUUCCUAGCUACUGGUGGAUAUUCAUGUUCUUUGGGCUGAUGUGUUAGUUUCCAACCUUUUUCUUUUACUACUAUCUUUUUGAUUUAUAGAAGUUAGAGUUAGCUUUCUUAUUUGUAUAUGUUUAUUUGCUAGUCCAAUCUGUUUGAAUUGAGAGGGUCCCGACAUAUGCAUACAUUUUCUAAAGAACUAAAGCCAGAAUGAAAUGUCCAGAAGAAAAGGACUCACUAAUAAUUGUUUUUCCCUUCUUUGUUUUUCUUCAGCUGUGGAGGCUUCAAGGCAGCAACUACUGGCAUGCCGAGCAAAUCAUGGAUCAAGACCAGUUCUUGAAGAAUUCAUGCCCCUGAAAAACUCAAGCUCGGAGAACUCAGAGAAGUCACAAAACAUAUCUGAUAAAGCAAACUGGAUGACAACUGCACAACUAUGGAGCCAAGCGGGAAACGAAACGAAACCACAAUCUUCAAUUACAUCCCCUAAAGAAACUGAGAUCGGUUUCAAUGUUAGUCCCAAGCUGGCCUUAGAUACGAAGCCGAGGAACGGAGGAGCUUUCCUUCCAUUUACCAAAGAACGAAACUCAUGCCCUGGUUCGGCUUUACAGGCUCUUCCUGAUUUAGCUCUUGCUUCUGCCAAUAAAGAUAUGGAAGAUAAGAGAUGCUCAGACACCGAAAAUGGCAUGUCUUGUCAACGGAGAGAGAACUCUGGCAAAGUUAGCAACGGCGUAGUUGUGAUCGAGCAAGGAAGAGGAACGGCUAACACAAUUGAUGGGCAAACGGCAAAUACUAACCCUAGUGCAAACACUACGCAACCUCAUAGGAAGGCUAGGCGAUGCUGGUCACCUGACUUGCAUAGGAGAUUUGUCAAUGCUCUCCAGUUGCUUGGGGGUUCUCAAGGUAUGACAAAUUUCUUUUGUUUUAUUUUUUGAUAAUUGGUUUGAUCAUUGUUGGUGAAAUUAUGUAACUGAAUUGAUCAGUAUGAAAGUCAAGCUAUCAUUAUCAAAAUCAUUGAUUCUCUGAAAGUAAUAUUCUGAUGAUGGUUACAGUUGCCACACCAAAACAAAUCAGGGAGCUGAUGAAGGUAGAAGGUUUGACCAAUGAUGAAGUGAAAAGCCAUCUGCAGGUAACUCUCUCUCUCUCUCUCUCUCUCUCUCUCCAGUACUGAGGCAUGCAAGAAAGAGCUUUUGUACUGAACCUGACAAAGCGCAACAGUGCACACAAUGUCUGAUAAGUUAAAAAAUGUCGGUGUAAAUCUUUUAAUCUUCUGAUGAUUUUUCUUCUGCUCUUUUUUGACAGAAAUAUAGGCUUCAUACGAGGAGACCAAGCCCAAGUCCACAAGCAACAGGAGCCCCAACACCCCCGCUUGUAGUCCUAGGUGGCAUCUGGGUCCCACCAGAGUAUGCCACUGCCGCAGCAGCCGCCUACAGUGGGGCCCCCACUCUGUAUGGAACUCACCACCCAGCAGCUGCCCAUGCACCACCUCACUUCUGUGCACCACCAGUGCCCCAAGAGUUCUACACUGCUGCAGCAACACCAGCUCCACCACCACCCCAGCUGCACCACCAUGCCAUCCACCACCAGCUCCACAUGUACAAGGCCAACUCACAGGCCCAUAGUUCACCGGAAUCCGACGUCAGGGGAGCCGGAGACCGCUCUGAGAGCAUUGAAGACGGUAAGUCUGAGAGCAGCAGCUGGAAAGGUGAGAGCGGUGACAACGGUGGCGCUGGAGAGAGAAAAGGGUUAGCUGCAUUAAGAGAAGAAGGUGAAGAAAGCAAUGGUAGUGAGAUCACUCUCAAAUUCUGAGAGAGUUUAAAAAAAAAAAAGAGCGGGAGAUUUAGGGUUAGGGUUAGAGUUUAGGUAUUCCGUGUAAUCAUAUGCUAUUAUUAUUAUUAUUAAUUGCGUUCAAAAUUCCUAAGAAAAAAAUUACGUUAAAUAUGAAGAGAGGGUAAGAAGGGCAUAAUGGAAAAGUGAGUGGUCGUUUUGUUCAAUUGCUUCCUGUGCUUGAAUGUCUUUUUCGAAGAAAAUAUUGAACAUUAGAUUAUUUGUUUUUGGCGUUUUCUGUGGUUUUCACUUUUGCCACCGUGGACAGAUUUGCCCUUGUCUUUUCCGGAUAAUCUCCGCCGUCACAAGGCUAAGAGGGACGAGGCAAGGUCUUGGUGCCCGGCUGCAGACAUAAAACGUCCAUGCUUCUUUUUCAAAAGCAAUCAUUACUACCGACAAUCAAUGGAUAUUAUUAGAAUUUUUACAAAUAAGAAAUUAAUCAGGUUAUAAAAUAAGAUUAUAUGGAUAAAUAAAAAUAUAUGGCUGGAUAAUUGAAUAAUUUUAAAUAAAUGUGGGAAUGAUGAUAUCAAUAAAUUUUUGACAUAAUAUAUAAAAAUAUUUAAAUAAAUUUUUAUACUUUUAUUAAGUUUAAUCAAAUUUUUAUAUUUUUAUUUUGAAUCAAAUAAAUUUUUAUACUUUUUAUUUUGAGUUAAAUAAGUUUUUAUAACUAAUAAUUGAUUUAAUCAAAUUGUAUGACAUUGAUGUGGUAUGUUAAAAUAAUAUAAUUGAUUAUGAUGUGACACAAUGACCUAUCAUAAUUGAUGAUGACAUUACAUGCUAAUUGGGCAUGAUAACAUAAUUAUGUGACAUUUUUCAACCUCCACAUUAAUUUUAUGUCAAUGCUAUAUGGAUAUAAAAUGACAAAUAAUAUUUUUACUAAUAGUAAUUAGUUAAUCAUUAAUUAUGAGUGCUUAUUUGACUCAAAAUAAAAGUACGAGGAAUUAAUUAAACGCAAUGAAAGAAUAAAGACUUAUUUGAAUAUUCUUGAAUAAUUUAGGAGCUUAUUUAAGUAUUAUGUCUAAAUUUUUUCCAUUCAUUAUUGAAAUUGUCUUGGAAUGGUGAGUUAACACAAAAUUAAGAGCAGCUAGAUUAGUUGCGCUUGCCCCUAAGAUUAAGGAAGUUAAAAUUUUAUUUAAGAAAAAGAGGCACCGAAAGUGUCAAAUUCCUUUACACCUAGCCAGUCCCCCCAUAAACUUUCUUGAAUAUACAUGAGCAACUCUCUCUUUAUUGCUUUUUUCUUGUUUAAUUUGAACAGCGCCUUUAGUCUUUGACCAAUUUCCACAAAAAUACAUUUUAACUUGGGGUUAAAGCACAUAUGACAUUGAACAUCAACUUUCUUGUACCUUCCCUUUCUGUUCAACUAGAAUUUGUAUGCUUGUUUCUUUUUGAAAAUUCUAUGAAAUAAAAGCGAAUGGAAGAAAUAACUCCUUGGACUUUAUGGAAUUUAUGAUUCUCCUCUUCUUACAUUUAGGAUGAAUUUCUAAUAUAGCAGGAUCGCAGGGUUUAGGACAAGAAUUCAGAAGAAAAUGGCAGGGGCUUUUUGGGCAGGCAAAUCCCAAGGAUUCGCAUAUUGUUUACACUUUACAUAUCAUUGCAUCGCGCUGGUCUUCAACAUUGCCAAGGCUGGGCAUGACUACUUUGUUUAUAAAAUUAUUACUUCAGACACCAUGGUGAACAGUUGACCCAGGGAAAUAUUAUCAUUGUUGAAUUGACAUUUUUUGACGUGGGAUCCCAUCUGCCUUUUUCUUCCAAAUUGUCCUACAACAAAAAUGUAAAAGUGACAAAAGUUGUUAGAUACCCACAUCAUUCCUUGCAUAACACAGAAAUGGAGUCCCCAUAUUCCAUAUUCGUCUGUAUAUUUAAUUCAAUUGUCAAGACUCGAGACCAAACUUCCAAGCCAGAGGCUCUCUCUUCGUCUUAGAUAAAGACAUGGCCUGUUAUUGAAACAUCUUGGGCUGGACGCCUAGACCUGCAGGUUAGCACUCAUCUCAUAGGGUGAUGGGUGACCGUUGGGCCAUAGGCUCACAGCCCCAUAGUCGAUUCAAAUAACCUGGUUAUGAACCCCGUUUGGACGUACGGGGUCCAAUGCUGUUUAGGAGGCACGUAAGCUGGAGAAGCGUUCCCACCAAACUGCCCCGUACGUCCAAUCAGAUUUAGUCACUAACCAUCCACUCAGAUAGAAUUUGCAGCAGCAGAUGACAUACAUUAAUAACAAUCAGAAAGUAUGGUCGAACAACACUCCAGAUAUCAGUAUAUACAUCUAAAUUGAGGAGCUAGCUUAAUACUUCAAUCUCCUGAUGCUCUAUUUACAUAAAGGUACAAGUAGUCCAACCAAAGGGUAAGGCUGCGUGUGUCAUCUUUAAACAAAUGAGACAUCAGAGGAUUACUAAACUUCAACAUAAAAUCAGGCAAUGCCAUUUGCCAAAGUACCACCCCGUACAGCCACAUCAUCUUCACUCUCUAGUAUUGCUGAAUCAACAAGAGACUGCAAGGAAAAGUUAUAGUGAGUAUGAUGAGUGCUGCUAUUUCUAUCAUGAAUGAUUGUAAAGACACUUUUUUCUAAGCUCCUUAGAUACUGAGACCCUAAUCCUGCUAAUCGCCAUAUGGAACCUCACUGCUUCAAAUAACUAUUGAGCUAUAUUCGUUCAAAACCUUUAACUACAGAACUAAGACCUACUUCAGCUGAGAAAGCUACAUGUAAUACAAGGGUAGAAGCAUUAAUGUAUGCAAGUUCCCUAUGUAGGGCAUGUAUGCAGUAUUUAUCUUAGCAAUGGGCAAAAUUGACCAACAAAAAAAUUGAUACAUAAGACAAACAAUAACAUGCAAUUAUGUGCUUAGUAAUAUUGCCACAAUCAUUCAAGUAUUUGGCUCCAGAGCAUGUUUUAAACCAAACAACAGAAUAAAAUAGCAAUUGCACAUAAAUCAUGACCAACAGAGUGAAGAGGCUAACCUGAAGUUCUUGUUCACAGCUUUUAAGUUUUUCCCUAUACUCCUUUACUUGCAGGAAACAUUUAUGCAGCUGCAGGUCAUUCAUUUGAUAUAAAAAAUUUUGUACCAAAAAGAAAAUUUUAAAUUUUAUUCCAACCAUAUUGCAGCAGAGUAUCUCAGAGGACUACCUUGGUUAACUGCAUUUUGCGCCGAGAAGAGAGCUUCUUUGCAGAAAUUAAUGAAUCCUCCAAGGUCUAUAUGAAUCGGAUCAAAUUCUUAGUGAUGAAAUGAACCAGGCCAAAUAAACUGAAACCAUGGGUAAUAUGAUAACUAUACCUUAGAUUUUUUCUGUAAAUCCAAAACAAUUUCUUGUCUCUCUUCUAACCUCCCUUCCAUCAGCGAAAUCUGACAAGUGAAUAAACAUUACUUUUUCUAAAUAUGUUUGUGUGUGUGUUGGUUUAAGUGGGGUAGGGGUGGUAAACAACUUUGUAAACACCACUCAGAAGGUGAUAUUCUGACUAUAGUGAUUGCCAUGGUAGUGCAAGUGCAAGAGUGUGUAUGCACCUUCUAAGUUUCAGAGCAGGAUAUUUAACAUAUGCAUAGACUGUGCCUAAAUUCUAUUAUAUCUAUCUACCUAUACAAGAUGUCUUAGAAAAUCGCCACAAAAAAUUCUAAAUAUGUAGCAAACCUCUUGUUUAAGUUCUUCCCGACUUUGAAUCAAUCCUUCAAGCUCAUUUUUCAUCUGGAAACAAAACAUAAUUAGCAAAGGUGAAAGAAGAAAUUGAGAUUACACAAGUAUGCAUCACAACAAAGUUGAGAUUACCUGAUUGUAAUCAUCACUUGAAUCUGAUGAAAGCCCUCUGCUAUGGUGAUCAUUGUUUAUAGAGCUGCAAAAUAAAAAUAAAACAUUUUAUAAAAUAUUAGAGAAAUAAAACUCAAGCCACUGCUAAAACUGAACUAAUUCAUCUGAAGGAAAACAAUGCGACUUAGCUCAUAUCAGAACAAGGUCAAGAUGGCAUGAAGGAUUAAUUGAACAAACAUAUUAUAUGUGGAACUGGAAGAUUUCAGACUGAAAACCAUUGACAUAAAAAUACUAACAUAGAUUGAUAUUGCAGCCAUUCAUACAAACUACAAUGGAAUCAAUAUCAAGAUACUGAAGAAUUCUAUUACUCGUCAGAUAUUGUAAUAAAAAUCAAUAAGUAUUAAGUAACCAACUUUUGGCAACCCCCAAUGCAAACAAUUCUUUAGAAAAAGAAAGGGAAGAGAGUGUCCUACCCAUUCCAUCUCAACUGUUGCUCUUUGUCCUCAUCAAGACUUCUAUGAUAACCAUUGGUUCCACUUCCAUCAAUCUCCCUAUUCUGAUCCAAACUGAGCACAUGACUCUCCCAAUCCUGAAUAUGGUCCCUGCUUUCUCCUCGCACAUUAUCCUCCACAUCUCUGUUAAGAUCUCUAUCCAAUGAGUAUUCCCCGGCUCUAUCAUGAUCAUGACGCUCGUAUCCUCUUCCUCUUCCAACAUCAUGGUCCCGAGACUGAUCAUGCUCUUCGGACCUAUCACUAUAUCGAUCCCGAUACCGUUCCCUAUCACGAUCAUGAUCUCUUUCUCUCUCACGUCCCCUAUCCCACUCACCCCGUCGAGAGCGGUCACGAUUGAAAUUCAAUCUGCCCCCUCUAGUUGUCACUUCAUUCACUCUCACAACUCGACCAUCGAUAGUCUAAUUAACAAUUUCAACAAUGUCAAGUUUCAACAAGUUUGAAAACAAGAAAGAACAAAAUCAUAGCAUGUUCCAUGGAACCAACAAGCAAUACAUACCCGGCCAUUCAUAUCAUUGAUGGCAUCAUAAGCUGAACGAGGAUUUGUAAAAGUAACAAAGCCAUAGCAUUUUCCUCUAGUUGUAUGAUCAUUAACAAUCUGCAAGCCAAACAACAACGGCACGCUUCAAUUUUUAAGAACACCCUAACGCUAGUUGAAGCAAAAAAAGUUUGACCAAACAGAACACAAACAUUUGCCUUAAAGAAACAGGGACAAACAUGAUUAACUAACUUACUACUAGAAACAAGGAGUUACUAGAAGGCAACAAUUUCAUCCCGGGUUUAUAUUUUCUAGUAAUCCCAAAUUGACUCCCAAAUACUAAUACUUGGAAACAUUUUUAAAAAAUAACAGUAAAAUUACUAGAGAUUUUCCAUCAACUAUCUUGCUGCUAAGCUAUUUGGAAAAAAAGAAAAGAAAAGACGGAAAAAGUUUAAAGAAUUAAGAACGAAAAACAGAAACCCUAAAUGAGUAAUAGAAAGUAAGUUAAACGAUGAAGAGUCAAUGCGUGGACUUGAAAAUUAAACGGACAGAGGAAGACCUUCACGGCGACGACGGCGCCGUAUAGGCUGAAAACACGGCGGAUAGAGGCUUCUGUGGCGUCGUAGGGGAGUCCUCCCACGUAUACCGAACUGUCGUCGUCGAUCGUCAUUUUUCCACUUUUACUCCAAACUAAGGCUUCUAACUUUUCAGGGUCUAAAGUACAGUGGAAAUAAAACUAAAAGGUUUUUCUAUCCAAAAUUGUUUAUUAUUUAUAUUUUUGAAAUACUUAUAUAUAUAUAUAUAUAUAUAUAUAAAGAAAAGGUAAGUAACAAAGAANCUAUAUAUAUAUAUAUAUAUAUAUAAAAGAAAAAAGGGUAAGUAACAAAAAGAAAUACCAUGUGGUUUACUUAACUACAUUAUGGUAUUUUCAGUUACAUUUUUUUAUAUUUUAAAAAUAAAAUGAUUAAAAUAUGUUUUAUUUCAUUAAUUUAAAUAUUAAAAAUAAAAUAAAAAAAUCUUUAAAAUUUUUAAAAAUAGACAUAACUGUGUUACAUAAAAAAAAAUCUAAAAAUACAUCAGAUAAUUAAAUGUAAAAUUUUAAACUUAAAGAUGCAAAUUAAUUCUACUUCAAACUACAACAUAUUUUUUUAUAAUUUAUUUUUUAAAAAAAGGGUUGAUAUAUGCAAUAAUUUUUGAAUACAGAUAUGCAAUAAUGUUACUACAAAAAAAUUUUCAAUAAAAUUAUAAACCUCAAUACAUAAUAAUAACAUAAUGUAUUUUUUUAAUUACAUUUUCAAAAUAUGUCCUAAACAUAAUUAGUAUCAAGUGCGAUAACGUCUUUCUUAAUUGAUAAGAGAGGCAAUAGUAGAUUAUAUUUAAAUGAGUCUAUAUUUGACAUAUUAUUGAUGUAUAAAUUUUAUACAUUAUUAACGAAUCAAAUGUUACAAGAAUUAAAAAUCAAAUAUUUUUAAAUUAUGAAUAUUUAUUUUUUAAAAUUUUUAAUUUUUAAAUUUAGUUAUUAAUAAAAUGAUAAUAUUUGAUUCAAUAAUACAUAAAAUCUAUACACUUACCCCACAUCUAUCUAAAUUUUAUUUAAAUUUGCUCACUAUAUAGUACCCUGUCAGCGAGAACAUUGCUCUUUUGGGCUUACUUUUUGGGCUAAGAAAACCACGUUAGAGAAUAAAAAUUAGGGUGAAGAGGUAACAAGAAAUUUGACACUCGAAAGGAAGAAAAAAUGAGAAAGUUUUGAUAGGAAGUUACUUGGUCGGUGGUCACUUUUAUAGACGUGUGAGUAUAUUGAUUAUUAUAUAAACAACAGGUCUGCUAAAUUGUUUAAGGAAUAGUUAUUAAUUCAAGGCUUCCUUUUUAUGUUCAAUGGAGCUGAACUGAGGGUUGUUUCAUGGGACCUUAAUGCUUUAGUGUAUCUCUGCUUGUUCUACAUUUGUCGUCCAACAAUCCUGUGUUUCAGCUUCAUUGAUUGCUGGUCUGUUAAUGAUUUUGCAGAAUGACUGUGGGCCUAGCUGAAGAAUGCUGUGAGAAAGAUUAGGAACAGAAUCAUUGGUUCAUGAAGAUUUUUGGACACUUGAAACAAAUGAUAUGGAAACAAAUCAUUGGUUCAAUGCAUCACCUACUAAUCAUUAAGUAUCCAUACAAUUCUACUGGCUCACAAUUUGGGUUCACAUUGACAGAUAUAUUGCGACUUUGAGUUUGAGUCAUUUUCUUGUUCUCAUGGUUGAAUUUUAUCCUUGAUGGAAAGUAAAAGUAAUGAAAGAAAUUCUUUUGUCACUGAAAAUAUAAUACUUUAGAUAACAUAACGGUCAAUAAAAUUAUAUGUAAUUUAUAACAUUUUAAUAUUAAUAUAAGAAUUUAUUUAAAUAAAAAUUGUAAAACUCUAUUAGCUCAUGUUAGCUUAGACCUUAAAGGCCUCGCUGUUGCAAGUUCAUUAGAGCUUUAAACGUUUUAUUUACCCGAAUUUGUCUAAUAAUCAGAUUCUGAGACCUUGGAACAUUAUUCACUGAGGAAACAUGGACACCAGCAUGUUACUGUAUGUUGUGGACGGUGGAGAUUUACUGGAUUCAUAUGUUGCUGAUGCUAUGCUUACAUGUUUGCAGAACUUGUCAAAUUUCAUCUUAGAAUCUUUGGUUGUCGGGUUCAGACACAAGCCUGUACUGUUCCUAAUUGAUCAAGUUUUUACGUGCUUGUCUUUUCCAUUUAAAAUUAGCACACAACAUCGUGAGCCGUUCUAUCCUAGCUACCUUAGCUGCAUUUGCAAAGUAGCUUCUUUUAUGAUUGGGUUAUAAUAGGAAUUAGGGAGGGGGCACCGCCAGUCUAAUUGCAGUAAUAAAGUUGAAAAGAGGUAGGCAUGGUGGCGAGUCACCUCAUCUGUUCUUUGUUUCUGUUCCUUUACUUCUUUUACUUUUAAUAGGGUAACAUAUCACUUAUGUGAGAUCAGGCAUAGUAUACUAGAUUUCGUGAUGAUAAAAUUACUUUAAGGUUUCAUCGGGAAAGAUAAGGGUAUAGGUUAAGUUUGAUAUAUUGUUAUGAAUAUAAUUAUUGAGAAUAUAAAUUUAUAAUAUUUAGUAAAUUAUAAAAAAGUGAUGGUUAUAAAAAAUAUAAUUAUUAAAAAAAUUAUAUUAUAGUAUUUGAUUUAAAAAUAUUUUAAUAAAAAUAUAAUAUAAAAUUACUUUUAUGUAUAAAAUUAUAAAUUUUAAAUAUAAUUUUAAGCUACUUGGCAUUUUCUUUCCCUUAUGAUUGCGAGAUCCAAACAUUUUUCUUUCUCAGAUUCUCUCAACUUUUUAAUAAAUUACUUCGAUUAUAAACUAUUUAAAGUGUUUCUCUUUCAAAUUUCGAUAUCUAAAAUACAAAUUUUUCUUAAACAUUUUUAAAAAUUUUAAAAAUUUGAGUUAAGGUUUCAUAAAACUUUAACAGUCUCAAUCUCUCCAAUUUUUUAAUUUAACAAAAAAUUUUGAUCCAAAUGUACCAAUAACUAACUACCCUUCCUACAAGUGGCGAGAAAAAAGAAAGAAGAAUAUAAUAGAAAAUUAAAAAGAAGAAUCGGAAGGUCAAGUUAAGGAAAAAAAAAUUUUUUACUUUCUUUUGCUAAAGAAAAAUAACUUUCUCCUUGUGAAAGUGAGAGAUGGGAAUUCAUUGCAAUCACAUUAUAAAUAGGAGAACUUUCUCAUCAUAAAACACUAAUCAAACAAUGUAAAGUAAUUCCCUAAAAUUUAAUUACAGGAAAUAUUCCUCGCUUGCCGUUUAGUAAACGCCCCCGUAGAGGUGGAGGAGCAACCAUUGAUUUGAGUAAAAGGUCCGAGGUCUCUGCAAGUUGGGGCAAAAAGCUAGGACUAAGAGGGAACUGCGAAAAGAAUGUACCAAAUAGUAGAUCCUAGGAGGACCUCGGAGAGCGGUGGACUCCUGACCUGACGUAUGAGUGCGUAAAGAACAGAGUAGAAGGGCCCGCCAGAUGGGCUAGGCGGCUAGGCCUAACUCUAGGUCGUUCUCCUUAGUCCUUAAAGGCCUAACCCAACUUUGAUGGACCUACUCUUUCUGUCUUUUGUUUAUUAAUAAUUUUGUUUGUUGAUACGACUACAUUAAAGCCUUCCAGGAAGAAUGACAGAGGCAGGCAAGCAGCGGUAAAAGAACAGGAGAGGAGAGCCAUAUGUAGAGGCAUGCAGUGGACAAGCAGAAGAAAAAAACCUUGCUGCAUUCCUGGCUCGGCAGCAAGGGUGUAAAUCAGAGAAAAUUUGUACAAUCCUGUAACCAUCCUGCGGUGUUAACAAGAUGCAUGUUUAUCUGAAUUACAUCACGGGAGAUAAUAUUCACUCAUUGUUUUUUGUUGGUGGCCUUCUUUUGACAAGAAUGAUGGAACAAAGUUACAAAAUCUUCAUCCCCAUUUUUUGCGCUCUCAAUGUUCCACGUACAAACAAAAGAGUGGAACAGUAUAAACAUGUAGCUGAUCUGGUUUUGGGGUUUUCUUGUCUCCACCACACAAUGAUUACAAAAUCUCUCAACCAGUCACCAGUCACAACAGUGUGGCAUUUCUUAUCUUAUCGUUGCUAGCAAAAGGAAUGUCGGUGAAAAGGGGGGAAAAAAAAGAAAAGAUGAAAGCUCAAAAAGUAAUAGGUAUUGCACGAAAUGUAAAAUGUUUUACCCAUCAUAGUAUUGGCAUCGAUGGUCUCGUCCCUUUCCUAGUAGAAACAGACAAACUGGAUUUGAAUUGUGUGGGUCUAAUCCUUAAUAAUGCUUUGAAAAGGAAAUCUUCUAGUCUUAAAAAAUGCAGGUUUUCCUUAUGAUUCUGAAUAUACCGGUGUAAGGGAGCAUCUUCCUCCCUGAUUGGCUAUGUGGUUAUGGUGGGAUCAAAUUACGACAACAAUUUUAGUCUUUCUAAGCAUUAACUUUUUAUUACUAUCCCAGCACAUUGCCGUGGUUGCUCAUCACUAUACUUUUUCAACAUUUCACAUGUCUCAAGUGGGGUUUCUUCAAGCUUUUUGAUGGAUCAUCUUCAAUGAAAUAGACUUAUUCAGGUGGAAGGAGGAAUGGGAGGGUGAUUUACAAGCAUAAUCCUAUUGUAGUUAUUCCACGAGAGCAAUUGGAAUUUAGCUCUUGGCUCCCACGAAUACAUGUGUGAUGCCAAUUGCAAACACUUCUGUUUGGGUGCUUGUCACAAAAUUCAAUGGUCCUUCAUCUCCUUUUAAACUCCAAUCCUUAAACCAAAAAAGGACAUAUUCAUUCCAUCUCUAUGCCCUAACCGAAUCUUGACAUUCUUUUUUUCUUUUUUCCUUUUUUGUUAUAAUAAGAAUUGGUGCUCAACAUAUUUCAAGCAGCUGACUAGUAUAAUAAUGGAAAUCAAAAUUAUUCUUCUCUAACAUAUACUGGUAGGCAUCAUGCCACAAGGCCAAGACCUUGCUUGUAAGAAUUGAAGCCCACUUCUCCCCUUAUUUUGUUUUUCUUUUCAGUUUUUAUUUUUCUUUCAAACAUAAGAAAAACAACAAGUAGAGUAUCUAUUAAUUUUGACAUACUCAUAUCUAAAUCCAAUUGUAAAAUCUAAUAUCUAUACCCUACUCAAACUCAAUUAACAAUAUCUUACUAAAACUCAAACUUAUUUAUUUAAUUAAAAAUAAUAUAAGUACUCGCUACACAACUCGAUUCAACCAGAAUUUAAUAAUAAAAAUACAAAUGAAUUAUUUUUAUUUUUUUAAGUUAAUUAAAAUUAAGUAAUAAAUUCAAAUUAAAUAUUAUACUUAUGAAAUUUAUAAAUUAAAAUAAAUAAUUUGUCAAUUAUAAAUAAUAUAACAAUUAAAAUAAAUUUUAAAAAUAUAUUAUUUAUAUUCCAGUUUAGAUAACAGAGACUCUAAAAUUGUUAUCUGUACCCUACCCUAAAUCGUUUAUAAAAUACCCCUAAUUUUAACUAAACAAAUUAAAUAAUACUAAAUUGCCAUUUACGUGAUACUCAUUGCCAAGUCACAUUUCAACGAUCUCUUACUUUUUCACUUUCUCUGCUUUUUAGGUUGAGAAAACUUUUUGGGUCUUUUAUUUUGACUGGGUUAGCCCGUCCAAUCUUUAGCCCAUCAUUAAUCCAAAAUCCGUCCUCACUUUCUCCAACUAUGGCACUAGCGCGCCAGCGGCUGCGCCCUGCUUCUAUUCAGAUUAAUUCAAAGGGGACUUCUUUUAUAAAACGUCACGUGAAUUGCACUGGGUCUAAAUCCAAUCAUGGAGAGUGUCACGAUUUUAACGAGGAGAAGUCGUGAAUUUCACAUAAAAGUUGUACGUUUUCACAAGAAAUACAAAAACAUUACACUUUUAACAAAGAGUCAUAAAAAAAUUUUUGAUAGGAGAAAAAAAGAUUUUUUAUAAGAUAAAAUUAUUAAGUCAACGAAUCAAAAUAAAUAAUAUCUUACAAAUAAGUGUGAAUUAUAACACAAAACCUCUCAAUUUGACCAACUCAGUUGCCUGGUGCAAUUUUUCUAUUUAAUUAGCUUACCUCCACUACUUAUUUGCAAUUCUGAAUUGAGCAUUGUUGUCUUCCAUGCAUCAUGAAGUAUUAUUCUUAGGCUUGGCUAAAGCUCUUUCUUAAAAUAACAUUUGGUAUGCAAAAAGUGAGAGUACAUUUCUUACAAAAUGCUCAAUUAAAUUGUAUUGUAAUAUUUAUUUUAUAACAAAUUAUUUUAAUAUAAGAUUGUAAUACAGUUCAAAAUUGCAUUGUACUCUGAAUAUUGUUAAAAAUAUAUUUGCCCCUCAAUGUUGUUGCUUUGUUCAAAACAUUUUAUAAUGUUAUAAUUUGGUUUUUUAUAUAGAUUUUGAGAAUAUCUUUUUAUUAUUCUCAAUAGUUAUAGAGACUAUUAAUAAAAUUUAUAUUAUCUUUUAAAAAAAUUAAAAUUAAAAUAUAUAAUACAGAAAUUAUGUUAAGAAAUAAAAUAAAAUAUAUAAGAUUACAAUAAAAAAAUAAAAUAUAUGACAUUAAAAAUAUAUUUAAAAUAUGAUAUUAUAUAAAAAUUAACAAUAAAAAAUACAAGUAUAUUAAACUUGCAUUUUAAUAAAUAAACAUAAUUCUAAAAAUUGACAUUAUAUUUUUAACAAAGUAUUUAUAAACCAAACGCUGCAAUGAUAUAUUUCUUAUAUUUUGAUUAUUAUUUUACUUAUAUACCAAACACUAUAAUGUUAUUUUUUCACAAUCAUAUUACAUUGUAAAGUAUCAAACAUUACUUAAGUGUUUGUAUGAAAUAUUUCAGAUCGAAAUUCCCGUUCUACUAUAGUUAAACCACACUUAAAUUAGCAUAUAUACAUAUUCCAAUGCUAUUCCCCUUUCAUGCAAGAUUUCUUGCCAACCAGUUUUAUUAUUAUUAUUUGUUGGAUCGAAUUUCAAGUACAAGUGACAAGUCUCCUGUUUUAGUCAAAAGAUCUUCAUGUACACUUAUCGGAAAAGGACUAAUUUCCAAGCAAUCCUACAUAUCUGCGUAAAGCAAAUUUGUAUUAUCAAAACUUUUGCUGAGUAGAGUUAUAAAAGUAAGCGCCCAAUUUAAUCAGAUGCAUGGUGUCGCCAUAUUCCAUUUCUGAUCCGAAAUCACUUCAUGCCAUCAGUUUUGUAGACCAUGUCAUGUUAUGACCAACAAGUUAGUACCAUGCUUUCCAAGUUGUGAAACGUUUUGCAGAGAGACCUGAGGAUUCUUUGAUAUAUAGGGCCAUCAAGAGUUUGAUGAACCUUCUCUAUACGACCAUUAGUACUUUGCCCCAGUUGGCAUGGUGAAAGAUUAAUUGAAUGUCACUUUUAUGUUAUGUAUAGCUAAGAACAAAAUCAAUACACUACAUAUGAACAAAGUAGUGUAUUCAUAAUUCAUAAAAUAAUUAAUUGAACAUAAUUAGGAUAUAUAAAAAUGAAUUAGCAAGUGAAAUCAUACUUUUGCUUGUGUUGAUAUUAGACGUCACAACCAAAUUCAUACUAUAUAUAAUUCACUGUCAAUUUGUCAAUUAUAAAUUUAUACUAUAUUUUAAUUUUAUUAGGAGGUGCAAAUCAAAGCUCUCUAGUUUUGCUCAAUAACAUAUUCUUACCCAUUUUGCACUAGUAUUGGUGCUAUAUAUAUAUAUAGAUUGGAUCUAACUUUGAUGCUUUUAAACACAUUAUACAAUCAGAUCCACCAAUCAUGUAGUCUUGAACUAAGGGAUAACACUAAGGAAAGAACGAGGAAAAGGAGCCUAUAGCUAAGUGCCAAUUAUAUAUGUAAUCUUGAACAAAGGAAAAAGACAUUGGAGAUGCAGAGGAAGGACGCUUAUGGAGUCUUGAAUUAAGGAAUAAGACUUUUUAAUUAAAAGAAAAAAGAAGUAAGGAAAGGAGCAUAAAGAAGAACAUUAUCCAAAUCUUAUGGUAUUAUUGUGGGUAGUUAUUUGUCAUGCAAAGCAAAUCAAUCAUUAUAACAACUGUUGAAGAAGUUGGAAUCAACAUGACGCAAACCACUUUAGGGGCUGAUGAUUACCUAUUCAUUUUAUAUAUGAUAAGAAAAUAAGGCUUAAAUUCGAGUUUAAGCUGUCCAACCUCAAUCUUUUCUCCCCUAAUUGCCGCCAUAGAAAAGCACUCACCCGGAAAGAAAAAGAAACAAACGAAAUUUGCCCUACGGGUCGAUGUAAAUAGUAGUAUACAUUUUUUGUUGGCUAUGUAAUUAUAUGUUUUUUCACUUGUAAAUCCAUAAUUCAUCACGUAAUGCUACUCAGUAGUAGUAGUAGUAGUAUAUAAGAGCCUCGAAAGGAGAACCUGCCUUCUAUCCUUUUUUAAAGACCCAACUCAACCUUUUGCUUUACACCUCUUACUCUCUCUGUCUCACAUACAUAUCAUCCUCAUCUCUCUCUUUUCUCUUUCUCUUUCACCGGAAUCUCAAAUUCCGGCCACAUAUCCACCCCCCAGAACCUGACACACUCUCUCUUUUUUUCAUCAAUUAUUCAACGAUCUUUUCUUUAUUCAUAUACGUCAGAUCUUCAAGGAUUAGAAAUAAAAAACCAGCUUGGAAAAGCACUGAAAGCCUUGCCACAGAGAUAGACUAGUCCACCAACACCCACCACUACCUCUGUUAUCUUUCCUUCUCGGUCUCAGAGUAUGGAAUCUUACACCUUUUAUCGAUUUGUUUUAGUUUAUUUUUAAUUGGUUUAAUUUCAAACGUUAGCUUUGCUAUGCUUUUUAUUCAAAUCCCAUUUCUCUUUUGCUGUUUAUAAAUGCAAAAGUUCAUCAGUUUUUAUCAGUUGCACGCUUUCAUGCUCGAAGAAAGAAAGAAACAAAGGCCUAAAGCUCCCCCCAUCUCAGAAAGCUAUUUCCCACACUCUUUCUCGUUUAAAGUUUCCUUUUCUUAAAGGUGGUGAGUGUUUGCUGAUGGAUGGAAAGCUGAGAAUCAUUAUUAUAAUAAUCUAAGGAAAGAAACCAUUCCCAAAAAUACUCGACCCCCCAUAAUCUUUUCAUACCCCUUCUUCACAGCUUGCGCUUCCCUGGUAUAUUCGUGUGCUUCGUUUUCCAAGAAAGACAUUCUUUCUUUUCAGCAACAGUUUUUAAUCAAGUUUCAUUAUUUCAUCCCUGAAAAAAAAAAAACACUCUCUUUCCUGGAGCUUUCCUCCUUUCAACUAUUAGCAAUAUCAUGAUUAGGUCAGGAUUUCCUUCUAAGAUCAAGUUUUUUUUUUUGCAAAGUGCCACUUCAUUAACUCUGAAAUGGGUAUUAAGCUUUCAAACUCUCUCUUUGGUUUUGACUCAAACCCAUGCACAUUGUUGAUCUUGCUUUACUUUGACAGCUUGUGCUUUAAUGUCCAUAUCUCUUGCAGGCAGUUUUACUUUUAAUCUCAUGCAUUAAAUCUCUCUCUCUUUCUUUUUAGGUCUCUAGAUCUUGUCUUUAAUUUGUUAUCCUCGUACAUUUCACCUCCUAGGGUCCAUGUAUCUUCUUUUUUUUUUCACAAUCUUUCGACUUUCAUAGCUCACUUACCCAAAAUACUCACUAUCCAGCACCUACAAAACUUGCCGACCACUAGUAUACUACUAUACCAAGGACCCCAAAUUCCAUGUGGCACCAUUUCAUCUGCUUUCCAUGUCUCUGAUAUCUGAAUCUUUAGCCAUAGUACAGUAAAGAUUUGGCCUAUGCUACACAAAACCCGUUUCUCUUACUUUGUAUAGCUAUAUAGCCGCAGUUUGCUGCACAUAUAUCUAAGCUUUGCCAAUAUCUCCAGCCCUGAUCUUUCUUUCUGUCACUAAAUAAUCGAUCAGCACUUAAAAAUAUAUUCUUUGCAGAGUAUGGGCGCUGGAAUUUCUGGUUGUUGAGAAAGCUGAUGAGGAAAUAACCGCAUUUAUUGCUAACGUGAUGUUCCAUAAGGAAACGUAAAAGCAAAAGGUUCGUUGCAGAUUCACCCUACUUACCCUCCCUCUCUCCUUCAAUAACUACUAUCGGCGUUUUUACAGACUUUUGCUUUUAACCCCUCAAGGAGGAAAGUACAAAACUUACUCUCUAGUCUAUAUCAACUAUAAUUGUUAAGUUGUAUAUUUGUUUUUCAUAGCAUUUAGGAGUAAAAAGACAGUAAAAGUCGGAUAAAAAUAUACGAGUUAAAUUUGGAAAUGAAAAUAAAUAUAAUAUUUAUCCUUACUCUUUGACUUGCUCUCUCUCUCUUUCUCUCUGUUUCCUCUCUUUCCAUAUCUACGUUUCAUGAUUGCUAUGGAUGUUGGUAUGGCGCUUGGCGUUUGAUUCUCAGCCAUAUCUGCGUAGCAGAGGAGAAUUACGGAUAUUCCUCUUUGAUACAUAGCCAUCACCUAGGAGAAAAAAACAAAAGGUGUGGGUUUUUUUCUUUCUUGUUUUUUUAAAGGGAAGCUAUCCUUUUUGGUCAUAUUUCGGCUGGUCCUAAGCUUUUUCUCCUCACUUUUCUUUUUCGUGAUCAAUAGUAAUGGUUUUGUUAGUGCUUUGAGCUUUUCGUUUGUUUUUUUUGUCUUACCUUUUUAAUGUUUUUCUCUUUUUAUCGUUUUGUAGACAAUCAUAUGUUUUGAGGAUCGACAAUGUUGGCUAAAUAUCUUGUCAAUAUAUAUAUAUAUAUAUAUAUAUAUAUGUUUAAAUUCAUAGGUAGUGACAUCGGUUUUGAUGCACAAUGAAGGUAUAAUAUACUAUAAAAAUGUGCAGAAAUUGAGAUAUAAUUGUUCCUAUUAAUUAUGGAAACAACAUUACUUUUUAAGUAAAUUGGCCUUUUUUUGCCUUAAAACUUUCAACGAGUGUUAAAAUUUAAACUCUUACCAAAGCAAAGAAUAGGGGGAAUUGUGGGAAUUUCUAUGAAAGAACAUAAACCCAAAGAUUAGGAAAAAGAAAAUUUCAUGAAAAAUGUACCUAUAAGUAAAGUCUAUAGAUGGUGAUGGUUGUAGAAUAGGAUUGGCAGUGCCUGCCUAGUGAUUCUAAAACCCAAAAAAGCCAAAACCCCUGUAUUAUAGUCAAUGAAUCUUGUUCUGAAGGGCAGCUCCACGACACAACUGUACUGCUUCAUGCAGACAGCUUGGAUUAUCUGGGAGACUGUCAUUUUUGACUUGGAUUUUAUUACAAAGAUAGUACAACUAUUGGCUAUUUCUACUUACCUUUUUUCUUUUCUUUUCCUGCAAAAUUUAAAGUAUAUAUGAGUAUAAAUGGUACUACUCCUUAAUUUGUUGUGAUUUCAAGUUCAGUGUUUCCAUCGCUUAGACCUAAAGAUACUUUAAACUCUUGUAUGUUCCCUUUAGGUCUUUAUACCUUUCUAAGUAGAUCAAAUCAGACUGCUAUAAUUUCAUGUUGUUGGGUUCUUCAUUUGCUUGGUUCAGCUAGCUGUCUGCCUGUACGCUUUGGGCUGAGCUCAGGUGUACCUUAAGCUUUUUUUUUCUUCACACUCUGCAAUUUUUAAAAAGAAAAGGCCCCUUUGGGUUGGUAAAGUUGCCUGCAUUUGCAACCAAUUGUUUGUAGUUUCAAAACCCUGUAAAUUCCUGGGGUUUAUGAAAUUCAGAAUCUUGAAACUACUUUUUCAUUGUGAAAUCAAAUCAUAAUUUAGUUUCCCGAAUGUGAGAUUUCUUGUUCCUUUUCUUUUCAAAUAAUUAUUUGUGUAAUUGUUUUUCCUUCAAUGGGCCAUACAUUUGAGCCCAAGUAUUAGCUAAAAUAAGAGUUGAGGUUGGACCAUUUAUCUCCACUGAAAGGAAAGGGACAUGUCAUUUGAUUGUUCUUCAUGUCUUGUAAUAAUCCCACGGUUGGUAACUAUUGCAUUUAUCCUCACGUUCCAAAUUUUCUAUGCUGAAUAUAAAUGCCUCCCUGCCAGAAAAAGGUGCAGCUGACAAAUUGCAGCUAAACUUAUCCCAAAGCAAAAGCGAAAAAAGUUCAGAACAAUACAAUGUGUCCGGUUAAUAAACAACAAGGAAAACGACAUAAGCUGCAAAGUAUUUGAGGACUUUACUGCUUUGUUUUAGGGUUGAGCCAAGAGUUAUCCGAAUCUACCAGUUUUUAAGCCUAAUUGUUACUACUGUUAUCCGUUUGAGGCGCUGAUUUUCCUAUCUGUUGUGUUUCUGUUCUGUUCUUUGUGUGCUGUCUGGUGCUUAUGUUUAGUCGCUGUUGGUGGGCUUUGGGAGGAGUUAAAGCUCCUUUAUACUCCUCUGAAAAAAGCAGUUUAUACAUGCUAGAUUACAAGCUGUCCCGCAAAGAAGUUGGAGAAAAAUACAGCCUUCAAUGCCACUAGGACCACAGGCGGCACAAUUGCCGCUAUGAUCAGGAUUAAACCCACAAUGUAAAAUUGUGGUCCUUCUCACUGAACUAUGUUUUACUUCCACUGGAGAAGCUGAUCCAAAUUCUUCGUUCUUUUUUUCCCUUUGAGUCCUAAUAUUGAAAGCUAAGAUGAUUCCACAGGGAGAGGGAGGGAAGAUAUGAGAAACCAUACAUGUAACAAUGGCUUCACAGCUACAUGGUAUAUAACAUUAAAAACCAUGGAGAUGGCGAAAGCUAGCUGCAUAUUUUUGUUUGCUAAUGGAAAUGUGCUUGUUUUUGUUUUUCAUGAACUUGUUUAUGAACUUUUCAUGAGCCGACAAAUGGCUUGUGUAUGAACUUGUCUUUAACUUCUUUCACACUUGGUAAUUCUUUGUUUCUUUGUUCAUUUCUUUUCAUGGUUGGAGGUUUUUCUGAAUCUUUGCUCCGUGGAUUCUUGCUUUUUUGCAUGUUUGCAUGUCUCUUUUGGUCAUCCUAUUCAGAGAAUAUGCAGAGCUAUAGAGUAAAACACUAUCGAUAUUUGAUGCUAUAUACAUCUCCUCUUUCUUUUCUUUUUCUCUUUCCCUCCUUUUUUUAGCUUGCUGCAACCGUUACACUGCUUCGUGUUUUCCCAUUUGUUUUCACGGUUCUCUAAAAACCAAUCCCUUAUGGUAAGAUUCUCGCAGAAAACGUGUACAAUGUUAAGCCAUUACCUUUCAAAGGUAGUUUUUUGAGUCAUCACUUUGUGAUCUGUCUCGUCUUUUGGUGAACCCUCUCUCUCUCUCUCUCUCUCUCUCUCUCAUUGAGAUAGAAUUACUUAAAUCAACUAAUUGAAUAUUGUUUGUUCUACAGAAAUGCCUCACAUGCAUAUGAGAGACCUGAAGGAGAACCAUGUGGUGUCAAGGGAACCUCUAAAGAGUUCCAUGAAUCAGAAGAAAUCACCCCAAAUGAUCAUCAAAAGUGGGGAUAGAUUUGAAGAUGGCAAGAAGAGUCUGGGAAGGAAAAAUGGAAGGAGAAGAGUCAGAGGACAUAAAGUAGAUAGGUUACAAGAUGCAAAGCUUGAGUCAAGCAUGGGUUCUAUUCCAUGCAAGAGCCUUAUGUUCCACAGAAGGCCUGGCUAUGGCCAGUUGGGAACUAAGUGUAUGGUUAAAGCCAACCAUUUUCUUGCUGAGAUACCAGGUUCUGACUUGAGUCAUUAUAGUGUAAGUUUUGCUCUAUUUAAAAAAAAAAUACUACUAAUGGUUAACUAGGUGAAAUGCUGAGACUUAGGUUUGACAAUUUAUUGUUGUGUAAUGUUUCUUGGAACAGGUAGAAAUAAACCCGGAAGUUGCUUCUCGUAAACUGAACAAAGCUAUUAUGACAGAGCUAGUUAAACUUCACAGAAACAGCGACUUGGGGAUGAGGCUUCCUGUUUUUGAUGGAAGGAAAAACCUAUACACAGCAGGAUCACUGCCUUUUACCUCUAAGAAGUUCAAUGUAAUAUUGGCUGAUGAUGAUGAAGGAACGGGCAAUGCUAGGUAAUUCAUCCAUUAAAACUGGUUCAUACUAAUUUUCUCCUUAACUGGUUCACUUUAAUUGGAAUAUAUCCGUGAUCUGUUUCAACUACUGAAGGUUUUGAUGCAAAUACUGCUAAUUUAAUCAGGAGAAGGGAAUUUAAAGUGACAAUAAAGUUUGUAGCUCUCGCUAGCAUGGCACAAUUGAGCAACCUGCUUUCUGGGAUUCAAGUUGAUACCCCUCAAGAAGCCCUUAAUAUUAUCGAUACUGUGUUAAGGGAACUUGCGGCUCAAAGGUGCAUCUUAUUUGUUUUAACUUUUUCUUCUGUUUCUUUUGUGAGGUAUGAUCCCACUGACAGCAGAUUCUAACUUGUCAUAAUCUUUAUUUCGAUGAAUAUAGGUACAUAUCAGUUGGAAGGUUCCUUUACUCUCCUCAUAUCAAGAAACCACAAGCACUGGGAGGUGGCUUAGAAUCAUGGCGCGGCUUCUACCAGAGUAUAAGACCUACUCAGAUGGGAUUGUCACUGAACAUUGGUAAAAUCCUACUAGACAUUCUCAAUUGAUAGAAGCAUUGCUUUUAUCAGCCUUUUUUUUAUGCUGGAAUCCAAUAGUCUGCUUUGUUCUUAUCUUGUCUUUUUGUGUUAGAUAUGUCAACGACUGCAUUCAUUGAACCACUACCUGUCAUUGAUUUUGUUGCUCAAAUUUUGGGUAAAGAUGUGUAUUCAAGGCCAAUGUCAGAUGCAGAUCGUGUUAAGGUAUUGUACUGUGUGGCUCAUGAUGGCUUCCCUCCUUGCAAUGCAUAUAAACAUCGUCAUUGUUGGCAUUCUUGAAAAUUAUAAGUAGAUCCUGUAGUUUAACAUUCGAACACUGUAGUAGUUAUAACACAGGUUGCAAAAUCUUCACCAUCUCCAGGUAAGGAUUGAAAUUCUGAACUGCAACUUAAAAACAGGAGUUUGUUGCAUCCAAACCAGAUUUAUAAAUUCAAUUCCCAAGGCCGUGAUGUAACCCUCUUGCUAUUUACAUCUAGUUCCUGAUAGAGUGAUAGUGGUCAAUUUCAUUUUGCCUCAAAUGUUGUGCAAACUCGGAUACCAUUAUAUGACAUAAAAAACCAUAAUGUCAAGUCCUGGUAACUGCUUCAACAACAUAUCCAUGUUUCUUCUAACGUUUGAGACAACACUAUGGUACUUUGCCACGUAGCUAUAGUCUAAUGGCAUUCUCAUCACUAUUCAUUGUAGGCUUUUAGCUCUGACAGCUUCUUCUGAAAUCACAUUAACAUGUAGGAAGUUUAUAUCUAUCCUUCACUUAGACUGGCAAAUUGCAAUUUAUCUUUUUGGGAAUGUUUUUUAGGUUAAGAAAGCCCUCAGAGGUGUAAAAGUGGAAGUGACUCACAGGGGAAAUGUACGCAGAAAGUACAGGGUUUCAGGGUUGACAACUCAGCCAACAAGGGAGCUAAGGUAUAUUUUUUCUUGAACUUGGCCUCCUGUUUCUCAAAUUUGAAAGUUUGUCUUUGCUUCUUCCUGGAAAUUAAAUUUUUUUUGUUUUCCUUUCAUCAGUUUCCCACUUGAUGAGCAUAUGAACAUGAAAUCAGUUGUUGAGUACUUUCAAGAGAUGUAUGGAUAUACAAUUAGAUAUGCACACCUACCUUGCCUUCAAGUAGGAAAUGAGAAAAAGGUGAACUACUUGCCCAUGGAGGUAUGCAUUGCCCAAUUUUCUUUAAGCUUGUAUGCAGCAUGGAGGGUUCCAACCAACGUAAUAUAAAUCCUAUCACAGGCUUGCAAGAUAGUUGAAGGACAGAGAUAUACAAAAGGGCUGAAUGAAAAACAGAUUACUUCUCUGCUAAAAGUUUCCUGCCAAAGACCUCGUGAACAAGAAUUGGAUAUCUUACAGGUCUAAAGCACAGUUCCUUGGAUUAUUUGGUGUCUUUUUCGAAUAAACAGAUGAAUAUAAAACUUAAAGAAUAUUGUAUAGGCUACUUUUAGUUAAUUGCUUUCUUGCUGUGUUGUUUUACUUCAGUCACUGAACCAUAGCAGAUAAUAAUUAUAUUCAUCAACAUGGAAAUUAGCAAGUUGUCUUAUUUGUCAUCAUAGUAAUAAAGGAUAACAAUAGCAAGGUGGAUGAAAUUAGUGUGCAUUUCAGUUUUUGCCUGCCUGGAGAAAACAAUGAUGACCUAAAAGUUUUUUGGUGUCUUUACAGACAGUUCAUCAAAAUAAUUAUGAUCAAGAUCCUUAUGCAAAAGAGUUUGGCAUCAGCAUAGACAGCAAGCUUGCAUCAAUUGAGGCUCGGGUUCUUCCUGCUCCAUGGGUAAUGUUGAAGUCACUGUUAAUUCUUUUUUUUUUCCUUCUUUCUUUCUGGCAGUCAUUGUCAAUUCUUCUACAUGAUACAGCUUCUUACUCUCUAACAUUUUGUUCUUUUGUCCUCUUUCUUUCUAAAGCUGAAGUAUAACGAUACUGGAAAAGAAAAAGAAUAUUUGCCUCAAGUUGGUCAGUGGAAUAUGAUGAACAAGGUUAGUCUAUGUCAAGGUGUGAAAGAUACCAAGACUUCACCCGAAAUGGCAUCCUUAUAUUUUACUCCAUGUUACUUCUAUCUAAAGAAGGGCAAUUCUUGUUGCUUUGCUGCAGAAAGUGAUAAAUGGAAGCACUGUAAGAUACUGGGCUUGUAUCAACUUCUCACGAAGUGUUCAGGAGAGCACUGCUCAUUGUUUUUGUCAGGAGUUGGUUCAGAUGUGCCAAGUCUCUGGCAUGGUGAAUCUUCCUGACCUUUUUUUCGGCUAAAUUGAAUGCUAUCUCAGCAAUUAUCUAUAGUAUUGCUUCCAAUAACUGAGCAAAAAAAAAUAGUAUUGCUUCCAAUAGUCUCCUUCAAUGCCUGAACAUCAAUUGGACUUUAUUUCAGGAAUUUAAUCGAGAUCCUGUAAUUCCUAUAUAUUCAGCAAGACCAGAUCAAGUUAAGAAAGCACUGAAAUAUGUAUAUCAUGCUGCUGAAAACAAACUUGAAGGAAAAGAACUGGAAUUACUCAUUGCCAUUCUUCCAGACAACAAUGGCUCUCUGUAUGGUAUGUUCCACCUUGCAACUAUAUAUCUGUACACUCAAUUUGAUUAUGUUUAGCUGGAUAAUAUUGUAUGAAUACAGCCUGCAUAUAGAGGUAUAUACAUUAUUAAUAUUUAAAUCAUUAAUUUUUAAACAUCAUCUUCAAGCUUUAACUCUUUCACUCUGUUUAAACAGACACCCUCCCGCUGUUGAGAUUAGAUAUGCCGCUUUUGUUUUGACUAUGAGUAAUUUGUUUUGCAUUCAGGUGAUCUUAAACGAAUUUGUGAAACAGAUCUGGGUUUGAUUUCUCAAUGCUGCCUCACAAAACAUGUCUUCAAGAUUGGCAGACAAUACUUGGCAAAUCUCUCCCUUAAAAUAAAUGUCAAGGUCAGUCAUAACUGAAUGAUCUGUUCUCUUAACUAAUCAUGAUCACAGAAAUUGUUAGGUAAUGAUUUAAUUUGCAUUGUUCUUCUUUAAAUCAAGACUAUUUCUCAAGAUUUUUAUUUUUUAGAUGGGGGGAAGAAAUACUGUGCUCUUAGAUGCUUUAAGUUGGAGAAUUCCUUUGGUUAGUGACAUUCCAACAAUAAUAUUUGGGGCUGAUGUAACUCAUCCAGAAUCUGGAGAGGACUCUAGUCCAUCUAUAGCUGCUGUAAGUAAGUUGAAUCCUGUAUGUUAAAAGCUGAUAACAUGUUGCUCCUUAGCCUUAAUGAUUGCUGGAAUGCAGGUUGUGGCCUCACAAGACUGGCCAGAAGUGACAAAGUACGCUGGACUGGUAUGUGCUCAGCCUCAUAGGCAAGAAUUAAUUCAAGAUCUGUUCAAAACCUGGCAGGAUCCUCAACGGGGAACAGUUACUGGAGGCAUGAUCAGGUUUGUUCAUUUAAGAUUAUUUCAGCCCAUCAAUCACUUAUUUGGUAUGGAGUCAUAUAGAUGAAGUCAUAAUUCCAAGUCAUAGCUUGUUGGUCAUCUUGAUCAUCUUCAACUUUGUCUUAUAUGAACAAACUGCCCGAUAAAUUUUGAGACAAUGGAGUUUAAAGUUGUGAACUACGUCAGUACGUGGUGGUGCCACAUUAAGUGGUUCGACUUGAGUUUGGUAGUGGACUCAGUUUACGGUUUUAAGGUCUCUAGAUGCAUUAACAUGGUCAAUAUCAAGUUUCAAAAGCUUUCCUGGCUAAAAUUUCAUUCUGCAAAAGCUUGCUUACUUGAAAACCAGUCUUUUUUGAGGUUACUGCAUGCUUUUUUUCAUCAUAUCAUGUCCUCCCAUGCUCUGUAACACUUAUUAGGUAACGAGGGUGGAUCCAUUCCGUGCAUUUUUUAUUGAUGUGCCAAUAUACUGAUGGAAAUUUAAAUAAAUUCAUGGUCAUGCAGGGAGCUCUUACUUGCAUUUAAGAAGGCCACUGGACAAAAGCCACUGAGGAUAAUCUUUUACAGGUCUGCCAGCUAUGACUUGCAAUCUUUAGUUUCAUCCUGAUAAGUUUAUUUAUUUAUAUUAGAUGAGAUGGCAAACAAAAAAGACUAAUUUACACUUAAUGAAUAGCUACGCUUCAAACUAUUUUAGUUCAAAGUUUUCUGAUGUCCUCCAAAAUUUGUGUAGAGAUGGUGUCAGUGAAGGCCAGUUCUACCAGGUUCUACUGUAUGAACUUGAUGCCAUACGGAAGGUUGGUUAACAUAAAGACAUAUUGUGCUUAUUAACUAUGUUAAUCCUAUGCUUAUACUGUGGUUAUGUGCAGGCCUGUGCAUCACUGGAAUCUACUUACCAACCUCCAGUUACAUUCAUUGUGGUUCAAAAGAGGCAUCACACUAGGCUGUUUGCAAGCAAUCACAGUGACAGAAGCAGCACUGAGAAGAGUGGGAAUAUAUUACCUGGUAAAAACCAGUGCUUUUUGUUCGUUCUGGGAUUCAUGGUUCGCUUAAGUAAAAAUUGAGAACAUAAAUGGUGUCUCCAGUAUCUAGCCAAUUCCUUUCGAAAGAAACUAGGAUUUCUGGAUAAAAAUAAACAGAUGACUACUUAAAACCUCUUUCUGAGUUUAUCAAUCGAAUUCCAUCAUGAGGUAGCUAGCUUUUUCCAUCUAUAAUUAAAAAAUGUUAAGAUAAAUAUCUACAUGAAGUUUCCAAAUGCAGGGACGGUGGUGGACUCUAAGAUCUGUCAUCCAACUGAGUUUGACUUCUAUCUGUGUAGUCAUGCGGGAAUCCAGGUAUGGACUAUAAUCUUAGAGGUUUUUGCCUUAUGGUUUUCAAAUCAUAAUGUGUGAGGAAAGUUUGGCAUUACAAGCCCUGCAUAUUAAACAUGUUUACCUUCAAACCGGAAAUUGACAGGGGACAAGUCGACCUGCUCACUAUCAUGUUCUGUGGGAUGAAAAUAACUUCACAGCAGAUGAGAUCCAGUCUCUGACCAACAACCUCUGUUACACGUAAGAAUAUUGAUUUGUUUAAUGUUACAUGUUGCCUUUCCAGUUAUCAUGAUUCAAAUUAAUGGAUCAUUUGAUUGCAGGUACGCUCGGUGCACUCGAUCUGUUUCUGUUGGUAACUCCUAAUCUACCACUUACAUGAUUACUACAUCCAUUAAUUUCCAAAUUAUCUCACAGCAUGAUUACACCAUCUGUUUCUGUUGGCAAUAGUGCAGCGGAGUGUGGUAAAUUCUGUAAAAGUAUGAGAAAUCUGUAAUGUAUAUUUGCUCUUUACGUAUGCAGUGCCUCCAGCAUAUUAUGCUCAUCUAGCAGCCUACCGAGCUCGAUUCUACAUUGAACCAGAGGCAACCGAAAAUGCUAAAGGGAGAUGCACACGCACGAGCAAUGGAUCAUCUGUCCGGCCCUUACCAGCAUUGAAAGAGAGGGUGAAGAAUGUGAUGUUUUACUGUUAAAACAGGAGGAAGAAGCUGAGAUGAUACAGAGACCAAGGUGAAAGGGAAACUGUAAACAACAUAUGUACAUUUGUUGUGUUUAUAUUGUAGAGAGGAUUGUGCAUUGAAAAUUUUGAGAACGCAACAAGCAGCUUUUCUAACUGACUGUAACAGUUAACAGAAGAUUAACAAAAUUGAGUUUAGAUGCAUAUAUAAUAGUUUGUCUACCAUUCUAUAUCUAAACGCAUAUAUGAAGGCAGCCAAGUCUUUUCAGUACCAAGUUUAGGCAAUGCUACCUUAUAAAAGAAUUAUCGAUAAGAUCUCUUUUAUUAUAAUCUUUACUAAUGUGUAUUUUCACCUUAUCAUAUUCUUUAUAAAUUUUAUGUAUUAAUAAUUUUCAAUGUCAUAUUCCGAUCAAUGUACUAUUAAUAUAAAUACUAUAAUAUUACUAUAAAUAAUAUAAUUCUAAAAUAAUUUUAAAAAAAUACACUGGUUAGAUUUUUAAAAUCCAACUGUUUUGUGAAAAUCUUUUGAAUAUAUUUUUCAAUAAAAAACAGUGUAGUGAUUUUUUUAUUGAGCACCGUAUAUAAUUUAUUUAUUUAUUUAUUAUAUACAAAGUUCAAUGUAGUAAGGUAUAAUCUUUAAGUAUAGCAUCACUUGUUGACAACACCAAAAUCAUAUAAAUAUUAAAUAAAAUAUACUAACUUCUCAAGUCUAAAUUAAUAUAUAAUAAUAGAUUUCGCUUUAACUAUGGACAAUGAUAAGAUUAUAUGAUAUUGUAUGUAUCUCAAAACUAUACCCAUUUAUUUACAUUAAGGCCACUACCCCAAUAAUAGAGUCAAAACAUUUUGUUACAUCUUAUAAUCUAGAACAAUUAUGAUAAAUAAAGAAUUGAAGUACUAUAUAUAACUCCAAGCUUAAUAAUUCAUUAACUAAUUACAUAAAUUUUCUGCAAUACAACCAAAUAAUAUAGGAUCAUACCAUAUUUAGUUUAAAUAAAUAAAAAAUGUAUUAAAACAUAAAAAAAAAUAAUUAAUAUAAUUAUUUAUCUAAUAAAAGAAAUAAUAAAAUCGGUUUUAACAGCGUGCUAUUAAGAAAUUCCCGUCACACAAUUUUGUACUUCGGAAAAAGCCAUCUGGCACGAGAUAACAGCAUGGAAGUUUGAGCAUGUGACUGGUGUCCUUGCAUCUUUCUUUGCUUUUUUCUUUAUAAUGUAUAACUCCCAUUGAAGGAUAAUAAUUAUUUCAUUAGGUGAAACUUGGGUUGCUAAUAAGCCAGGAAACCUGAUGACUGAUAUAAACGAGAAGCUGACUAAUUAAAGACCGGCGGAUAAAGUGAGAAUCAACUGCACAGAGCUCAUGAAGUAUCCCAAGGGUACUUCCUCAAGGAAAAUUGAGGUCUAAAAACAUUCAAGACUUGGCUGGGACGAAAGCAGGUUCAGUGGAUGAUAAGUCUUAAAGGUGACUGAGACUAAAGGGUGGUUGUGAGAGGGUAAAAAUACUUAGCUUUAUAUUAAAGUAAUUUGGUUUUUGGACCUCAAUCUGUUAUACUUCAAAGAAAUGCUACUUUAACCUGAUAGUUUGAGACUCCAUUUCCACCGGAGAAUUUUCUUGCAGGUUUCAUCUGAUUUUUCAUUGUCGAAUUACCAAAAAGCUAGAAUCUGGUUUAAAACUACAGUAACUAUAGCCACUGGCUUCAUGUUACACUGAGCCAUGACAAAUUUAAAGCACCAAACCAGAAUACCCUACAAGCUGGUUUCCAAGCUGAAAAAUCAACCACAAUACAUUUUUACUGUUCUGGGACGACUUUUGAACAAAUGAUAGCUGUCUUAUAAUUCAACGUAAACAUCAACAUUCGACAGUUGAACAAGUUUGAAAAUUGAUGCGAGCUGAAAGGAACACCACCAAUGUAUAGCAAACAUCACAGUGUCCCUUUCGUCUCCCAGAUUCUCAACCGCAAAUCUGAAAUCAAAAGCAUAUAUCGUUGUCACUGACCCAAAACGCUGUAAAAAAGAAAAAAACUUGCUGGGUCAGUUUGGAAAUAUGAAUAAAUCUUCUUCAAGUCUUCAACUACCCACCCUUUUCCUGAAAGCAGAUAGAUGAUAAACCGAUUAAUGGUUUAAAAAGUUUCAAUUUGAAAGGGGGCGUGAUGAGGUGCUAUCCUUUGUAUGGUGGAAACGAUUGUUACAAGCUACUGUCAUUGCAUGUCUCAAUCCACAAAGGUUGCUGUCUUUCUCAGUAGGGAAGAGUUCAACAUCCAUGCCUUAUGCAAUUACGUGUAUGUUGGCUUGUUGAUUUGAUCCUUCCCUGGUCAAUGACAAGAAACUGGAAUCUAGACUUCUCACCCUUCCCCAUUUAAUCCAUUUUCCAUCCUUUAGUCCUGUUAAUUAAUUAAUUGUUUAAACACACACACACACACAAAAUGCUUUUGAAAUUAUAGAGUUGAGACCACAUUUAAGGAGAUGAAAGAAAGUUAGAGCAGCCCCCAGCAUUGACUACCGAGGUGCUAGUGAUUGAUUAUUGAAGUUUAUAACAAUCUCCUUGAGGUUUGGUAGAAAAUACACCCCUCUCUUGAAAAAGUUAUGUUGUUAAUUAUUACAGUUAAUUUUAGACUAAAAAACAAGCAUACCCUCUGCUAAUUACUUUUUUUCUCUUUUACACGAGACCUUUUUUUAACUACAAAAUUAUGAGAUCUAAUUAAUUUUAAAAUUAAUUUUAAUUAUUAUGAAAGUAAAUUUUAAUUACUUUAUAUAUUCUAAUCCAAUUACAUAUUAAACUUAUAUUUAAUUCAAUAAUAUAUCAACUUUGAGAAAGAAUGUAAGAAAUUAUCUUUAGUUAAAAUAAAUUAAUUACCAUUAAUUUGUAAAAAAAGGUUUAGUGAUAAAGAGAUGGAUUAAAUAAAAAAUAAAAAAGGAGGGAACAGUAGAAAAAAUAAAUAUAAACAAAAUGUGAAAAUUUUUAGUAUUAAUUCAAAGAAAACUUUGCAAAAAUGUUAGUUUGACUAAUGUUAUUCUAAUAUCAGUUACUUUUUUAAGAAAGAUAAAAAAAAUGUUUUUCAAACUAAUUUGAAAAAAAAUAUUUUCAUAAGUAUUUUUUUCUAAUAUAAUUAUAUAAUUUAAUAUAUUAAAUUUGACGUGAUCAUAAACUAAAUUUGAUAGUAAUUAAAGAAAAUUUUCUAACUAAUUAAAUAUUUCAACUGUAUGUAUAACUAAUUAAAUCUCAAAAUUUUGUAAAUAAAAGCAAACAGUCUUGGACAAAAGGGAAAAGAGAAAGCAAAAUAAAAAAGAAUUGAAAAAAAUAAACAAUAAAGGGAUAUACUUGUCUUUUUAUUUGAAAUUAACUUGGUAAUUAACAUUAUUACUUUUCUAAAAAGGUAAAUAUAUUUUUGACGAAACCUUCAAAGAGAAAAGAAGUUUCUUUUCAAAUUAACGAAUAUAAGUGUAUUUUUUUCUAAACUAAUCCGAUUUUUAUAUUUUAGACAUAAUAUCUAAAAAAAUUUUAAAUAAGUCAAAGAUUGAUAACAGUUAAACUUCAAGUUUCAAAAUAUAACAUAAAAAAAUAAAAAGUGUUAGAAGGCAAGAGAAAAGUUAGGUAAAAUGUUUAAAAGGUUAAUCUUUUCAAAAGUGAAACACGCUAUGAGAGAGAAACAUUAGAAAAAUCAACAUGAAUUAAUUAGGUAAAGUCUUUUCACUCCUUUGUGUCAAACCUUAAUUUUAAUAAUAUUAUUUCCAAGGAAAGGAAGGUAGGCAAAUGCAAAGCGAAAAAGUUUUUUUCUGUUUAUGUGUAAGCCAUCAAUUUCAUUGCUGUGAAACAAUUAAUGUAGUAUAGUUAGCAAUUUUAAUAAAAAAGGACCACAUUGGCAUAAUGGCAUCGCCUUUACGUUGCACGUGGGACCUCCAAUUUGAUGGUGAAUCUUUAAUUUAAGACGGGUCAAUUUCACUUCAUAUUGACCUUGCCCUUCUUUUUCUUUUUCUUUCAAUAUUAAAUUGUGGGUCCCCACAAAAUUGACUCAUUUUACUGACUCGAGUGAGAAAACAGGAGAGAUAUGUGACAUCGCUGUCGACACGUGGGAAGAAAUUGACACGUGAACAUGCUGGGAAACCAGCAUUUGUGGGCCCCCACCGUUGUGGCCUAUUCUGGCCCACUUUGAUUUCCCAAGAUCCGAAUUAUUAGCACGUGAAUCAUUUCCACUCGGAUCCGGGUUCUGUCAUCUCAAAGGGUCACGCCCUCACCCGCUUGUUUGACUCUCUUUAUUUAGCAGGGCCUCUUGGGCUGACCAACUCCCAUCUUUCUUUGUUUAAGAAACAUCAAAUUAUUAAGCUAAGCAGUACAGACUUGUAACUUAUUUUUUCUUUUUAUGGGAGGUUUGAAUCUUCGAUUUUAUAGCCUGCUGGAAAUGGCGAGCCAAAGGGCAAAGACCCUUUUCUUUUUAUGUAACUUAUCAUUAUUCAGUAAACCUUUUUAUUGUUCCUUGUGCUGAUUGUUUCAUCAAUUUCAGCAUUAUAAAUAUAGGGUUCACUGAAUUAACGAAUUAUAGUAAUUAAUUUUAGAUUCAAGUUUUGUGGAUAGUCUCAUGUUGAUUAUGGUAAUUUCCAAGUGUAUAAUACAACUUAUUUUAACUCGCAAAAUUGAACGAUUUGUUUAUUAUUAGAUUUUUUUAUAAAUUAGAAAUCGAAUAUUAUAUUUUAAAAGGUAAAUUCUACUUAUAUUUUUUAUGAUUUUAACUUUUCUCAUUUUGUGAUUUUUUUUUAAUUAGCACCUUGUGAAUUUUUUUUUUUAAUUUGCACCAUAUGGUUCUAUUUCAGGAGAGUUAUAUUGUUAAUUUUAUCUUUAAAAAUACCAAAAUACUUUCAAUUUAAAUUUAAUUAAUUAAUUUAUAUUUAAUUUUUUAAAAAUUUUAUUUAAUAAAAUUAGUAACCUAACACUUGUGGAAACAAAAGUUAGCCACAAAAAUUGAGAAAAAAAAAUCCACAAUGUACUAAUUGGAGAAAAAAAAACUUUAAAGUGUCAUGUAAAAAAAUUAAAUCAUAAAAUAUAUAAGUAAACUUUACCUUUUUCUAAAUCUGACUUUUCCUAAAUCAAUAUGAGGAUAGACAAAACCAAACGCAUUUUAGUUCGAUAAAAUCAUGCAAGUAUCAACACUGAUGAAAUACCAACAUCCGAUCGGAAGGAUAGUUGAGUAAUAAUUCUUUUAAAUCUAAACUCGCCUUUGUAUAUCGUUUAGGUCCAAAGUCCAGUUUGAUUCAUGAUUAAAAUGUUUAAGUACUUAGUGUUUCAUUUCUUAGUGCAAGGCAUUCAUUUAAAAUUUUAAACAUAAUUGAUAGUGAUGUACUCGAGCAUUUAAUUCAAUUAUUAAUGUAUGAUUUUUAAAAUUUAAAUUCCUUAUUUUUCAAAUAAAAAAAAAGAAUUUAAAUACAGUUCAAACACCCAUUCAUGAUGUUAGCCAAGGCCUUAUAGUAGCUCACCAUUAAUAUUAGUUGGUAGCUAUGUGAUUUAUAAUUAAAGACACCAUAAUCAGAUACAGCAGAAGUAGUGUUUAGCGGAUUGUGGGUGAUGUGCUAGUGAGUCAGCGCACAGUGAAGGGAACGGGACAUUACAGUUUGCAGGGAGAGACAGAUCUCUCAUGUGAGUAGUCUUCCUCUCUUUGCCAUCUCUGGCUCUGGGGGGCUCUGUCUCAUUAUUUCGGUGAGGGGUCCCCGGUUCGCUUAAUUUCGUGCCCUUUACUAUUCGGUUUGUUUCAGAAAACCCACAUGCAUGAUGCAUCAGCUUCAGCUCCAGCUCCAGCUCCAUCUCUCUCUCUUUCUCUCUCUCAUGCUACAUUACAUUACAUUACAUCUUUUAAAUACCUAAGUAAACAUAGUAAAGGAAGAAUCAACCCCAUUGGGCAGUGGGCCCCCACUCAGUUGUUUCUUGAAAAACAUAAGCCAUUGCUUUCACGUGUGGUUGUCAUGCAUGCCUGCCAUUAAAAGUACUAACUCACACUUGCUUAAGCUUUUUCAAGUUUCCGUUGCUUCUAAAUCCACUGGUUAGACUCGCAUUUGAUAAAAUACAACAAAUUUCUACUUUGUUUAGCUUGCAAGAUGCAGUGCAUUAUUCUAAAUCCAUAUGCUUUUUCCGUUUAUAAGGCAAAUUAAAGCCAAGGGGUAUAUAUAUCCAGCUUACAAUUCUUUCUUAUUAGAAAGAUAUACUAGUAGAAAUAACACAGUGGAAAAAGUAGCUAUUCCUAUAUAUGGUUACUUUUGCAGAAGAUUUGCUAGAUUCAAUGGCCUACCCACCCAUCCCAUAUAUUGCCACAAAUGCCGGCAGCACUCAUCAUCUCCUGAGAAAAUAAAGGAAGUUUUGGUGGUUGGAUGAAAUUUGGGUCAUGUUUGGUCACAAGCAGCACUUAAAACCUGAAAAAGGUCUCUGAAGAAAUUCCCAGUUUAGAAAGUGUGAGGUACCAGCUGUGUGCCUCAGCCUUUGGCAACGACAUGAUUCCAGACACACACAAUACUCAAAGACGAAGUGCCAGCCUCUCAUAUGAGUUAUGUUCAUGCCAGAUCCUGGGUUUCAUAAAAGCUUAACAACAAUGUAAAAUCACUCCCCCUUCUGCAAUUCUUUAGUCCCUAAUGUUAUAUAAUACCUCUUGGUUAUAGUUCAAGCUUAGUCUUCAUACCCUUUCUAUUCAUAUUUCCAUAAUCAAAAACUUUGGUUUAGAUACGGAAAUGCAUUGCAUAAUUUGCACCUUUUCCCCAUUUGAUUAAUGUGCCUAUUUAUUAGAAAACCAGAAAAAUGUCAUUUUCUAUCAUAAAAUUCAACUUUAAUAAGGGCUAUAAAUGAGGAUAGCAAUUGAUAAACUGUUAUAAUAGAGACCUCUAAUAAUUUCGCCUUUUCCAUGUCUUUUUCAAACAUUAUUGUUAAGUUUUUUUCCUGCCUAAAUUAGAAUUUAUAUUUGAAAUAUAGAAUAACAUUCAAGUUUAAACUGAGUGAUAUUUCUAAGCGAAGGGUGCGGUUUAUAUAGUUUCUAGCUUCUAACAUUCUCAAAUUGGUAUAAUUAACAACAUUCCUCUAAGCCUAAUAUGCUUAACCACCAAAAUUAAAUUGCUAUGAUCCUAUCUGGCUACCUCAUCAUCCUAAUAGGGACCAAAUUCCCCGAUUUAAGGAUACUACAGAACAAGGGUAAAAAAUACAAAACAUCCUAGGAACAGAUUUCUCCUGAAGUAAAAUCUCAUUGAAAACAGCACCGAUAAAGCUGUAAUAAAGAAAAAAAAAAACGGAAAAGGAAAAGAUUUUCCCGAAAAUAGCCAAAUUACCCCAAAUUUACAGCAAGCUCUUAAUUAUUAUGACUCUGCCCUACUUAUGAUGGUUGAUGAUCAUCCCAAGCCGGGAUCUCAGCUGCCGCAUCCGGUACGGCAUGCCAAGCCGAAGCCGAAAUGAGAGGGCGGCUAUGCCAACCCAGAGUCAGACACCCUUCAUUUUCUUCGACCAAAUACCCUUCCGCCGAGAACAAAGUCAAUAACAUGCUAGCUUGUUUAAAUGCGUUGGACCCCAAAUGUAAUGGCCUAAAUCCGGCUCCAUUAAGCCGCGUCCUCCACUUAGCUAACGGCUCGUGUCUUUCUACUCGAGCCGAACCUUCACAGCUCACGACGUUGGCUAUUUCCCUCUGAAUGUAUAUCUCGGCUAAAGCUUUUUCCGGUUGAAGUGUGCAAGCUUCUAAAGAAUCGAACAUAGUCGAAUAAUAAUAAAGUGCUUCAGUGAACCGGUCCAGAAAACCGGGUUGGUUGUGGUUGGCUUCUUGUUCAACGACAGUCAUAAUUUUCGGGUUUAAGCUCCGGAUCCAACUCAAAACCGUUUGGAUAGAAGAAUUCCGUGUCGGGUCAGCUCCUAGUAAGCGGUGAAGCUGCAUGAUUGAGUUCACCGCCACCGCUUCUUUUGGAUUAACCUGAAGCAUCCACGGCUUAACGUCUUCGAGCCUGGAAGCCGCGACUCCACGGAAGGUGAAACGGACGUUGACGGAGCGAGCCAGCUCGGCAAGCCGUAAACCUAUUUCGCGAAGCGAGUCACGGCCGUCUGGUGAUGGCGGUCCAAUGCCGGUCAAACGAAGUAAAGGAGGUCCACCGGGACGUAACGCGAGGGCUUGUAUCAAAGCCGGCCAUUGUAAGCCGUGCAUCAAAUUGAAAUCCACCACGUGGACGCAAUCGUGACCGUCGAAAGCUUCCAGAAUAGCCUGAUUGGCGGUGAAGUGAGCGAAUUUCAAGUAAGGACACGCUUCGUAAAAAUGAUGAUACAAAAUCUCGUUCUCAUAAGCGGAGCCACCGUUGACAGGGCCUCCGCCAAAUCCUUGGAAAAUCCGGCAGCUCAAAGCGUCGAUAAAAUGUCCUGCAACUUUUCCGAUGCCACAAACGGUGUUGACACGCAUCAAUAACCGUUGCAUGUCGUCGAUUAAGGAAGUAGCCAAUGGGAGGUCGCCACGUUGGACGCACUCCGCACACAUCAUCAACAUGUGGACCAACCUUAUACCGGAAUCUUCUUCCAUGGCCGUUACAACCGUCAACUGAUGAUUCAAACUUUGUUGUUCGAAAGAAAUAUUCUGGUGCACCUGCGGCGUAUGAGGUUCGGUGGUAGUCCACGCGUUGUUUACCACCGCCUGAUUGGUUACAGGAUCCAUGAUGAAUUCGGAGGGGCAAGUAGGAGGCUGAGUGCACUCGGAAAGGAGCGAGUCGACCCAGGAGGCGAGAUCGGAAGGGUUACGGUGGAUAGCAUCUGAAGCGAGAUGAAAGAAAUCUGCGGGGGAAUUAACCAUGGCGAUUUCGAGUCGUUCCAGUCUCUGAGCUACUUGUCGUAACUCCGAUGACCGGACUUUGUAUCCAGCUCCGGCGAGUAGCCUAUCAAUAUCUUGCUGCUGCUGCUGUGGCGGCUUGUAGGAAGAUGAUGAUGAGCUGCCGCUGCUACUCCCCGCUGACGUGGCGGAGUCGUAUGGCACCAUGGUUCAAAUUCCUUUUCUUCUUUUUGUAAACAAGAAAUUAAAGUGCGGAAAUAAUCAAAUAAGAGGCAGAUUUGUCAUGCCCAGGUUUUGGCCAAAGAGUGAGAAUUAGCAGAGAAACGGAUGGGAAAAGAGAUGUAAAGAAAGGGAAGAGAUUUUUUCGUUGAGAGAAAAAGAGAGAUUAGAGGGGGAAUGACGAGUACUCCUGAGGAUGAGGUGUAUCCAUCUUUUGGACAACGAUUUUUGCUGUCACCCUCUCUUUUUUUUUUUUCUUUUUUCUCUUCUCUCUCUCUCUGACGUUCUAGUUUCAUUAACGUUAAAACUUAGUUAAACAAGUGGUAUCCAUUUUUUUAAUAAAAAUAAGAUUAUGAAAAGUUGAAGUGAAAGUGAUGUAGGAAUUAAUCAAGAAAAAAAAUUCAAAAUUGAACGGAGGAUAUUAUGUUUCAAGGUUAGAUUAAUUUAGGUUGCAAUUAAAGAAAACUUGGUCCGAUUUGAAAGAUUAUGAAAUGAUAAACACAGACAGGAAAUAACUAAUACUACUACUAGUAUGAUAGGGUCAAUGAAGAUGAUAUAUAUAUAUAUAUAUAUAUAUAUAUAUAUAUAUAUAUAAAAUAUAAUAUUAAAAGGAGGAUCGGUUUUUUUAUUGAAAAUGGCCUUUUAAUUAACAAUCAAAUUAAAAUUUAAACAAUAUAUUAAUCAAUAUACGGAGUCACUCGUUUGAUUGUUUUCAAGCUUACAGCGGGCACAUAUUAUUUUGGUUCUCCAGCAAGACUAAAGAUCUACUCAACUGGUUGGCCGCUGCUCUUUCUCAGAGAAUUAAGUCUCCCUCAUGGAGUCACUGUUUCUACCUACAAAAAUUCGAUGCAUGUUGUUAGGUAGCUCAGAUGUUUCAUUAUUAUUAUUAUUAUUAUUAUUAUUAUUAUUAUUAAUGAAUUUUUCAUUUAUAGAAAAAGAAAAUUAUAUAGAGGAGUAAAGGCAAAUAUUUGGCCGCGCGAGAGACGUGUCGCAAGAAGAAGACAUCAACAGGUGUCUUUGUUAAUGAAUUAUAUUAGUAAAUUCAUUAAUAAUAAGUAGUGAGAAAAUGAACAAAAAAUUCAGUCUAUGUCAGUGGGAGUAGCAUAGGAUUAAACUAGUAUAGUUUUCGGUAAUCCAGUUGCGUAAUUGAGACAGGGAAACCUUUGUUGUUUAUUCGAGAGAUAAUAUAUAUCUGCAACUUGGUUGUUUAGAAAAAUAAAAAAACAAGUGGAAGGGAAAACCCUAUUUUAAUUAAAGGCAAGUACAUUGAUCCCAUAUCUGCAGGCACCAACACAUUUAGCCUUGAGGGGACAUCCAUUUAAUAGUCCAAUGAGUCAAAAUAGAGCUAGAAUUAGGUCUGCUCCCAUUCCUAACGCCUUUUGAAAAUUGGUGGGAUUCGCUUAUUAAUUUUUGUGCUAUGCCGCACAUUGCUCUUUGACCGUUUACGGAAUCAAUGAAACUACAUCUUUAUUACAUCAAGGAAAAUAACCUUUCAUAAAUUUACUAUUACAAUCCAACAAUUACGAAGAUGAAUUAACUUUUUUUUUUUUUGUCAAGGCCAUGUAGUAUAGUCUUUUUUCAUUAUUAACAUUCACAAAAUUUAUUAUCAUGACAUCCUUGAAUUUGCCAAAAUAGACUUUUGUUUCAAUUAGUGAGUAAAAUUCCUCAGAUGAGAGUGUCAAAAUCUAGUAAUAAUUAUCAUAACGUAGAAUGAAUUGGGUAAAUGGUGCUACAUGCCUUGACACGAAAAAGUAACACAUUCUCUCUCAUCCCAUGUCUGAGGAAGUCAAAAAAGGUUGCAGAAGCAACAAUUUAUUAAUAUGUGCAAUUAUUCAGAUAUAGAGAGAGAGAGAGACGGGAGGGAAUUAGGUGUUCAAAUACUGAUCAUUGCGGUUUGAGUACAAAUGUACAUAAACAUAUUACAUUUAAAAAAGUUGUUUAUUUAAAAUCACUCAACCAUUUACAAGUCAUCCAAAGUACACAAACUUGUAAAGAAUCGUAUGAAGGGCUGAUGCGGUCCAUGAUAUUUAAAUAUAUAAAAUAGUAAAAUAGUAAGUCCGGGAGUCUGGGACCAUUUCAAAAGGGCCCAAAAAGCUCAAAUUGGGGGAUUAUUGGUUCCCACUAUAUAUUUUAAGAGGUUUUGAAGAAUUUUAAAAGCCCUUUGCAUGAGAACACCAGAAACUUAAACGAGAUCCAGUCCAGAGGGAAACACAAGAUUUUGCCUAUGUUAAAAAAAAAAAAAAUUGAUUGGAUCCACCAUCCAUAAAUUAAAACAAAAAAAAAAAAGAAAAAGAAAUAGCUGUUAUGUGGUCCAGUAGAUAACAUGGAAUUUGGGACCAGUUUGCUAAACCCGAAAAGCUCGAAUUUAAAGAGUUAAAAAUUGGAAAACAGAAAACAAGUGCUGUAACGUAUUCUGAAGGGAAAUAGGAUGUGGACGCAUGGGGAUUUUGCGGGCAUCAAAAAACACAAAAAUGAAAAAAAAAAAGGGGAUUUAUUUUUUUUUUUCCCUUUUUUCCUUUUAUGUUGGGGCUGGCUGGCUUUGAGGAAGUGCAAGGAAAGGGAAUUGGGACCAGCAUUUUCCUCAAGAGAACAUGUUGUGUUUAGAACAGACACCUAAAUUGUGUCCCAUUCCGUUCUUUUAGCUGACACCAUCACGUUAUGGCAUCUGUGAUUUUAUGGCAACAUGAUUCACGAAAGAGAGAGAAAGAGCUCAAACCUGUCUGUGGCUUUGCUCGCCCCACCAUCUUUCACAGUUUACAACAACCCCCAAAUCCAAUUACCAACCUUCUUACUGAUUCCGCAAUCUUUUCAAUUCAUGAUUUUCUUUGGAUUUCGUAAUACCAUGAAUUCCAUUUCCAUACAAGCAUAAACAUUGGAGGGAUUGAAUGUCUUUCUUUUAAUUGAAUGAGUACAAAUGCUUAAGACCAAAUAAAUUAGUAGUGUUAAAUGAUAAUGAGACGAAAUUCUCAACAUAAAUAAUCUUAUCAGAUAAGGUUAUGCUAUUACAUUAAUUUAUCAACAUCUUAAAUUGCAUUGGAUAGCGAGAAGGAGAAUUUUAAUCCUAUAAUUAGCAAAUUGAUGGGAGGGGAGAGAACAAAGCUGGAGUUUUGUUUACUUAGAUGCAGCCCUCAAUCUAUUUACAGUGGGCCGCAUUACGUUUAGCUGACCCUAUUUUUGUCUUGUGCUAUUAACAAUAUUUUAGAUCUCAAUCCUGAGCGGCAAACAAUUAAAAAGGGCUGUGUGAUUCAAGUUGUUUAAUAUAUUGUUUGGUAAGAUGAGAAUUACAUUGGAUAUAUACAAUAGCCUUGGAAAUGCCUUAAGUUAUUUCAUCCAUAUCAAUUGUCAGUACACGAUCCGGACUCUCAGACCAAACACGAGUCUAUUUGCACUUUGAAAUGUCUUCUUUCCAUUUUUACACAGUGCCCACCAACUAUCGCCCAUUUGCAACUUGACCCACACCGUCGAGAUUUUGAGGCCCAUUAGGGAGGCUUGAGAUCCCGUAAUUUUGCUGUUUAGCUGAACUCCAAAUUUGUACAAGAAAAGUUUCCUUGGAUAAGGAACUUCACCGCUAACAAGUCAUGAUCAAACUCUUACAAAACCAAUGCUAUUAUAUUCAUAUAAAACCCCCAAAAAAGAAGACAACAGUACAAUCUGAGAGCAUCCUCUUUGAUGCUCUCAAUCCAGCAGCCGUUUGGUAGAGUCUCAUGUUAGAUCAUGCGAGGGAAAGGCCUGAGGAGAAUGUGAUUCCAGCCAGGUUGGAGCCCUUCAUCUUGCAAUCAGGCAAUGGGACCAAAGUCCAUACACCCCUCUCUUUUUCAUAAGUCAGCCAAACAAUGUCCCAUAAACCCUCAAAAUUAGACAUCAAAACCACCCUAAUUAUCCCACCUCUUGCCUCUAAGCACCCUAUCAUAACUCCAUAGGGCUUCCCAAGUUGCUUCAUUAUGUCACUUGGAACGUUUGAAGUAUACUCCCAAUUCCCACUGUUUAGGCUUAUGCCCCACAUUUCCAUGCUACUUAACAUCUUCACCCUCCUAUCCGUGUUGUUGUCGAUGCCCCUCGAUCUCAUGAUCAUCAUGUGUCCAUCACCAUACACGUGUUUCCGAUCACUGAUGUUCACCCAGCUGAAUACAGUAGAUGGUUGCUGCCCUGCAUUUCUUAAUCGUGGCCGUAGAAUCAUUGGGGAGUUGUAGUAUUCAGAUCCAACGGCCACCACUAGGCUUUCAUAAGGUCCAUUAAGAGCAUUGAGAAACAUACAAUCGGUCCCUAGAAAGUUCCCGUAAAUCUCUCUUGCCUCGGUGGACUGCCACUCGUUAGUCUCUGAAUUGUACUCAAACAGAACCGGACGGUUCUCCAACAACUCAACAAACACAAAGCGAAAAUGGCCCGAACCGGAGGGUUCGGGUACUAACUUCAUCCCUGAUCUUCUCCAGGAAGAAGUGCCACGUGGACCCAAUGGACAUGGAGGGAUCUUUUUAACUGCCUUACUAACCAAAUUAACGGCAAUAACUGCCUUUUGGGUAUUGGAAGCAAACAAAAAAAUAUUGCCACUCGCUGUCAAUAAGUAAAUAUCUUCACCCGGAUAAAAAAUCACUUGCUUCAUCAAAUCAUCAAUGGAAAUCUUGAACCAACGGUUGGAUUGAUCGGAGAAACCAUGAAUCGUCGCGUCACGGCGCCACCGUUUCUUGUAGACAAACAACCAAGUGGCUGACCUUGAUCGCAGGUUGCACUCCCGGAUGAAAUUUUGGUCGGAUAUAACAUAAGCAAGAAACUUGUUGACUAAUUUCAUGCGAAUGAUUUCGGGCAAAGCAAGGGAGAAGAGGAUGUUUUGUAUGAGCUCCGAAGGAAGAUGGCAGAAACCGAGGGAGUUGGUGUCGGAAUUUUGACAUUCAUCCAUGUCUUUUAGCGCAAUAAUUUGAUGUUCAAGUGUAUAAUUAUAUAUACAGCGAGGGUACUUUCAAGCAUGUAAGUAGUACGCAUUAAAAGAAAAAAAAGGACAAAUCGUCCAGCAAGGCUUCCCAUGCGGAUAACGUCAUGGUCGGGGAAACGGACGGUGGGGAUGGUGGAAAAACUUGAAUAAUUUUUUAGUCAAGUCGACGCAUUUGAUUGUCUUUGAGUGUAUAAAAAAUGACAAGAAAGUAUUCAACUUUUUUUUUUUUUGAAAAGCAAGAAAGUAUUCAGCUAAGCUCAUGGUGGGGAGGUAAUUAUACAUGAGUCAAGCCGGAUAGCACUUAAUGGCUUAGUUAUUUGAGAGGGGUGAGUCACGCUGCCUGUGUGAUGAAAGGGAGGCCUCCAUGGCUGAUGCAUACCUUUUUAUUCGGUUUGAUUGUCCACUCUUAGACUUUGGUGUGUUAAACCAAUUUUUUCUCACAGGGAAAAUCACAUCAUCAUUCACGUUGAUAGAAAAUGUUAGUUAAUCAAUGAUUAUUAAUACCGUGUAGUAUAAUUGUUAUUUUUACGUUAAUCUAAGAAUAUAUUUGAACAUAAAUUACAAAAUAGAAAAAUUUUUGAAUAUAAUGAAAAAAACUUAUUUAAGAAAAAGGAAAAGUUUCAUAGAUUUAUUAAAUAUUUAAACCUUUUUAAAAUAAAGAAAGAGAGUAUAAGUUCUUGUAACGGAAAUAACGAACUACAGAGAAAGAGAUGGAUGCUAAAUAAACGACAAGAGCAUUAACGACUGGGUUUUUUUUCGGCUACUAGACAUGUCCCUUAUUGAUGCUUACAACAGACGUGAAUAUGUUCCAUGUUGAGUCAUACCUUGGUUGGAUAAGGCUUUCAUGUUAUUCUGGCCGGUGAGGUGCAAUUUGAGGGUGAUGGUUAAUCUGUUUCUUUCUAGCACCUGUUUGGGGUGUGCUCUUUUGGGCUUUGCCAAGUGAGUAGACGUUUGCAUAAAGAAGUUUUGGGAAUGCAGAUUAGACGGGUGAAGCCAGAUGCAAUUAGUUGUACUAUGGCUUUUUUGGUCGCAAGCAGUUAUGCUUGACUGCUGGAUGCAGAUACUUCACACUUCAAUUCUACGUCCAAUAGAGCCGCACCCAUGGCAUUCACAAUCACACACUAGGGCGGAAGAGUUGCAAUUGAGCAUGCUGAUGUCACGCAAGAGCAGUUCUGUUUGCAGACAAUGGAAAGAGGCUUCGUAGAAGAUAAAACAAAAGCGAAGAGAAAGAAAGAAAGAAGUGGAUGAAAUGACAGUCAAUGAAAGCAAGCCAGUUUGUUAACCGUUUCUUGACUAGAAGCAAGAACACUGAGGAUAAAGGAGACCAGGCUUUGCCCAGUUAACCCUCACGGUUAAAAGUUAGACAUUGGUUUUGGGCUGAUAAGUACUAGGCUAUGUUCUUUAAGAAACAAUGGAAAAAUAGCUAUGGAAGUGGAGUAGUUAGAACAUGAUUGUUGCAAAAUUAUAAACAAGUGUGUCCUAGAGCGCAAAUAUUAUCUACUUUUACGGGUUUUCGACAUAGGGAUUACCGCAACCAGGCUUCCUUCCGGUGUCGACCGGUAUCUCAUAGACACGGAAUCCAGCCAAAUAAAUUUCACCAAUUUCAUAACUUAUUGCAAGGCAAGCAAGUUUUAAUUCUUUAUUUUUAAAAUCUCACGAGAGACUUGCUCAUCACAACAAACAACAAAUGAAUAAGGACCCAAGUCUGAUGCCAUAACCAUCCAUGAAAGGAUUCUUGAUCAGAUAAAAUUUGCGAAUUUUCAUCCAUCUGCAGAAUGCCCAUUUACCACAAAGGAACAAAAUAAAAUUGAAUAACAUUUGAAUGCAAGCUAUAAAACUAGACAUAUAGGAAGAGCAUCAAAUCAAGGUUCUCUCAUGUAUGGUAAGAAAGCACCAAAUAACAAUCAAAUUCAUCUGAGUGUCUGAGUUGAGAGCUUAAAGAAAUUACGAGAAAGGCAAGAAGCAAUUAGGACAGGGAUAAACUAAAAGAAAUUGGCCACUGAUCCAGUCUAUCAUGUGCAUGACAGUGAACUAGUAAGUUCCCAAGACCAAUGCCAAAAUGGUAGAAACCAUAUUAAGGAACAAAAUAACAAAAUAGUUCAGCAGCAGUUGAUCUUAGAGAUGAAUUGAUGGCAUUUAUUGCAAUAUGCUGAUCAGAAAAUCAGUUAAUCGCACAAAGACUCAGUGCCUUCUUCACUAGCACCCACCAAUGAAGCUUACCUCAAUUUGAGUUACAAGACACAUCAUAAGUCCAGUGUUCAAGCUAUGACAUAAGGUUUGUAGUGUACUUUCUUUUCUCCUUUUUUCUCCAGGAGAUACUACAUUGGUAUUAAGAAUCAGAAUGCUACUAAUUCAGAAAAGUCCUUGAAACUAAUCUGGGACACUAUAACUGGUAGCAACAUCAAUAUCUAAACCAAGGUCACCAGACUAUCUGUGAGAAAAGAAAAGGAAAGAGAAAACAACAAAAUACAUAUUCCUCAAUUCUGAUGAGCCAAAUACCAUAUAUAGCAAAACUGCAACUACUAAUACAUGAAGCAACAAAGAAUGCCAACAUAUUGUCAAUAAUGAGCCAAAAGCACAAUGGUUUAUAAAUUACCAAAUAGCUAAGGGCUUACCAUGUUUAAAUUCUAAAAUAUGGGAUUGUGAGAUCUAACACAGAAAAGGUCCUUCCAAAAUUACGGAUACUAGAGAUUCAUACAUCCCAACAGUCUUCUUCAGAGGCUAAAACCAUGAAAAGUAAAAAAUAAAAAUUAUCAUAUAGAAGCAUGUUUACCCAACAUACUCUUUCCUUGAUUCUCUUCAACAUCAUCAUUCUCAUUCUCAUCAUUUGUCUGCUUGGGUGUGGUUAACUCACGUGGUGGUCCAGUAACUGACUGCUGAUAAAGAACCCCUCCUGCCAGUGUGAAAAGGAGGCAAACCAAACCAAAAGGAGUAGCGUGCUUAUCCCAAAUCAACACAUUGAUCACAACUGUAAGAAACUUAUUAACCACACCAGUCACGGUAAAUGCUGUGGCAGAGAUAGCCCUCCUAGCCGCAAAACCAAAGAAACUGAUGAGCAAACCAAACAAGCAUGACAAAGAUACUGCAGUAAACGCCACAGGUUCAAACCAAUUCCCAGCAUUGGCUCCCAAAGCAGCGAACACCUCUGUGUAUUCUCCAGUCAAAACCCAAAAUAUGGGUGCCAUCAUCAAUGAUAACAAGUUGUUGUACAAUACAAAACCCCAAGUGUUCAACCCAAGAUUCAUCACCAUAUGCUUAAUAUAAACCAUCUCAGUAGUAAUUGUCACCAAAUAUGCAAACGCCCACGAAUACGCAGUUAAAGUAAAGUCCGAAUCAGUAGCCACAUACCCAACAGCACCACCCAGAAUGAUCAACAGAGACAUAAAUGUUAGCUUUGACGGGCAUGGUUGCCUCCUAAAGGCUGUAUCGGCUAUGGCAACCAAAAGGGGUGUCAAGGAUCUAAACACUAUAAAAGUAUCCACAUUUGCGUGACGCAAAAGAUUGGUGUUUGUGAAGAUUGCAAGGUAAAAGACAAUAGCAGCAGGCAAAAACUUCUUGGCAAUAUCCAAUGUGAAAGGAUCAUGAUGUAAAAACCCAAACUUGCCUAAAACCCAGACCCCAAGAGCCGAAGUUAAGUACUGUAAUGAAGUUAAUAAACCAGGGUAGUUGAAUUUAGUUAUUGCAAAUUUGUUGAUGACAGCAAGUAAGCUUGAACAAAGUGCAUAACCAAUGACCAAACUGCUUGUAGCAUAGUAUUGUCUAGUGGAAUCAAAUCUAAUUGCUGACAUUUUUUUUCCUUUUGGAAGAGGGUUCUGAUUUUAUGUAAAUAACAAAUACCCAGAAGUUAAAAUCAGUAGAUCUUAAAAUAUUAUGGCAAUGGCAGAUGCAUUUGUGGAAAUUAUAACAGGAUAUGAGCUAGAAAAGGACUUCAUAGGAAGAAAUGGGAUGUGGGUAUUUAAGACUUCUAUUGAUCUAACAAUUAAAUGAAAGGAAAAGCAGAUUUAAUUAAAGUAUAAUAAAGAAAAUAAAACAGAUACAACGGAAGGAGAGAAGUCACCGACAGGAAACAGGAACAGGGAGAUCUUGGAGUGUUGAAAGAGGAUUGUCGUGGAAGCAGAAAUCGAAAUGAAUGGUUGCGAAAACGCGAGGGCAAGGUUCAUCAAGAGAUGCAGGAUGACUGGUUGGAUAGAGACCGUAGGGAGAUGUACUAUAAAGAAAAAUCUGCGUGUUUGAUUUGGUAAUACAGGUAACAGGGACAGCGAGGGAGCCAGAGCCACUUUUUCCCAAAGCUAUACGUUUGCAAUUAAAAUCAAAGGGGAGGACGAGUUCAGACUUCUGAUUGCUUUGAAUGGCUAAACGACAGCGUCUAGGAAGGACAAGGAUAGUGAAAAUAGUAGUGGUAGGAAUCUUUUCUCAUUUUAUCUAGAUAUACUUGCACAUUAAUUAAGACGAUAAGAUAAUAUUUUGUAUAUUACUACUAUUUUUUUUCUUUAAAGUAAGGAUAAAAGUGAUAAAUUCUUUAAAAAAUAGUGUUCAAGAUAAAUAAAAGUUUGUAAAGGAACAUUUUAAUUAUUAAAACUUGUUCUUAGAUAAUUUUAAUGAUUAAUAUUUGAGAUUGUAAUUAAAUAUUAGAAAAAAUAAAAUUUAUUAUCUUUUUGAAAAGCCAAAAGAAAAUAUUUAUAAAAUGAGAAAAACAAAUGAAUGAAAAAUUUUAUAUUUUAUUUAAUAGUUUAUCGAAACUGUCUAGUUUGAAAAAGGGAAAUUUCAAUUUAAUCAAUUGGGAUAGAGAUACGUAUUUCUAUCCUUAAGUAAAUUAAUAGGCAAAGUCAAAAGUGAUGUAUGAGUGAUUCAAACAUUACUUUUACUUUUGCAGUCCAACAUUAAUGAUAGUUUGAUCAAAAUGCUGGUCCACGUUUUUACAGGGAUUUGCAUUUAGUUGGCCCAACAACAGGCCAAUUAGGCUUAAAGACCACUUAUAAGUAAUAAUUAAGCUUAGAGGAGAACACAUACUGCUAUACCUCAGACAUAUUAACAAGAGUUCAUAAUCUUAAACCAAGUUUACUGUCGUCAAGUAAAUUUUAGAUUGGGCUACUGGUAUCAUGAAUUGAAGAGUCUUCCUCUAGUGUACUUUUGAGAGCCCGAGCCCAUAAAUCUGUUACAAUAUAAAUACUUUGCUUAUUUGAUUCCAAAUGGGCAAGGCUCUGAUGAUCACUCAACGGCAGCUUCAGGUAUUUCACUUCAUUUCCCGCCAUUACUUUCUAUCAAAGCCGCGCCUUUUCUCGUUUCACUCUCGUUCCCCUCCGCUAACCAAACAAUCAUGCAUCUUUCUUCUCAAAAACUGCAAAUCCAUGAACCAUCUUAAGCAAAUCCAAGCCCAAACCUUCCUACUUGGUCUCCACCAAGACGGCCACACUCUCAACAAACUCAUAGCUUUUUGUACGGACUCAUAUCUUGGAAACUUCCGACACGCUGAAAAAGUCUUCAGUCUCAUCCAAAAUCCAUCUUUGUUUAUAUACAAUGUGAUGAUCAAGACGUUUGUAAAAAAGGGUAGUUAUAAAAAUGCCAUCUUGGUCUUUGGGAAGCUGAGGGAACAAGGGUUGUGGCCUGAUAAUUUUACCUAUCCUUUUGUUUGUAAGGCAAUUGGAAGCUUGGGUGAGGUUUUUGAAGGUGAAAAGAUUCAUGGAUUGGUGGCAAAAUCGGGGCUUGAAUUUGAUGCUUAUGUGAUUAACUCACUUAUGGAUAUGUAUGUUCAAUUAGGCCGGAUUGCGUAUUCGAAGAAAAUAUUUGAUAAAAUGCCUGAGAGAGAUGUGGUUACCUGGAACGUGUUGAUUUCUGCUUUGGUUAGGUGUGGGAUAUUUGAAGAUGCUGUCAAUGUUUUUGGGUUGAUGAUAAAAGAGGGCCUGGUUAAGCCUAAUGAGGCUACAAUUGUUAGCACUCUUUCGGCUUGUACAGCAUUGAGAAGAUUGGAACUUGGCAAUGAAAUUGACCGUUAUGUAAGGAAGGAACUUGAAUUGACUACUAUUAUGGGGAAUGCGUUGUUAGAUAUGUAUUGUAAGUGUGGUUGUCUGGAUAUAGCCAGGAAAGUUUUUGAUGAGAUGCCGAUUAAGAAUGUUAAUUGCUGGACUAGUAUGGUGUCUGGCUAUGUAAACUGUGGUCUGCUGGAUGAAGCUAGAGAGUUGUUUGACAGAAGUCCAGUUAGGGAUGUUGUUCUUUGGACAGCUAUGAUUAAUGGUUACGUUCAGUUCAACCGUUUUGAUGAGUCAAUGGAACUGUUUAAAGAAAUGCAGAUUCAAAGGGUUAAACCAGAUAAGUUCGUUGUGGUUUCUCUCCUAACAGGUUGUGCUCAGAUGGGAGCUCUUGAGCAAGGUAAAUGGAUUCAUGGAUGUCUCAAUGAAAAUAGAAUUGUUGUAGACACCAUUGUUGGGACUGCUCUUAUAGAAAUGCAUGCAAAAUGUGGAUGUGUAGAGGAAGCUUUGGAGAUUUUCUAUGGGUUGAGUAAAAAGGAUACUGCCUCUUGGACUUCAGUUAUAUGUGGGCUCGCGGUUAAUGGGGAGGCAAGCAAGGCACUUGAGUUAUUCUCACAAAUGAAACAAACCAAAGAAAAACCUGAUGAUAUCACCUUUAUUGGUGUUUUAAGUGCUUGUAAUCAUGGAGGAUUGGUUGAGGAAGGCUGUCAGCAUUUUGAUUCCAUGUCUAAAGUGUAUCAGAUUGAGCCAAAAUUGGAACAUUAUGCUUGUCUGAUUGACCUACUUGGCCGCGCUGGACGGUUAGCUGAAGUAGAGAAGUUGAUAGACGACAUACCAAGUCAAGAUAAUGAACUUGUUGUGCCACUUUAUGGUUCAUUGCUUAGUGCUUGCAGGACCUAUGGCAAUGUUGAGAUGGGAGAACGGGUGGCUCAACGGCUAGUAGAAAUUAAAUCAAGUGAUUCCAGUAUUCAUACACUUCUGGCCAAUAUCUAUGCCUCCGCUGAUAGAUGGGGAGAUGUAAUAAAGGUUAGAGCAAAGAUGAAAGAUCUUGGAGUCAAAAAGGUGCCUGGCUGUAGCUCAAUUGAUGUGAAUGGUGUUAACCAUGGUGCAAUAACUUGACAAAUAAAGCAGUCUUUUGAGGAUAUAUUGUCACAAUCGGGGAUUGCAUUAAAAUUUGGGAAUUUUGGAAAUGGCACAAAGUUGUAUGUUGCUUAGCUAGUGAAGAAGCAUGCUGGAAUUCCGAAAAUAUUUGCAAAUAGGGAUAUAAAGUUGCUUUUACAUCAAAAUUUUUAUGAAGAGGCAAUUGGACUGCUGGUCGGGUAUCUUGUUCAAGCAGGUUCUUGAAACAGUUACUGAGGAAGCUUCAAAAUUUCUGUCAAAGAGUGCAGUUAAAUUUUUUCUAAGAGUAGUCUGUGGAGGCACCCACAUCAUUCAACAACUUCAUUAGGUUGGAACCAACAGAAUCAUUUCAUGCAACACAUUGAAAUUUCAUAUCAAAUUCAGAAAUUAGGAGAUUAUAGGUUAUCAACCCAAUAUUACAAAGAUUAUGAGUCUACAAUUGUCAAUUAACUCUGUGCAGACAAUAACAUCUUGUUCAUCAUUAAUAAGAAUUUCUCAUAUCCCCUUUACCUCAAUGUAUUCAAAUUUCCCCCUUCUCAUUCAAUUUAUUUCUUAGAUGGAAAAGUUUGGAAAACUGGGUUUCCAGCAUGUUCAAUCCAUAUACUCCCCUACUCUGUUGAGUAUUAACUGAAAUCUGAAAACUAUUGUCUAACACCAGUAGAUCCAUUUUGGAGUAGUAUUAGCAUGCACAUCUGCAUUGAAAACAAAUUUUUGUUAAGAUUUUUUUGCAAAUUUCAUAAAAAAUUCAUGUCAUAUUUUAAUGUUUGGUUAUGAAUAUCUUUUCAGGGUUAUAUUCAUUAUAUUGCUAAUACUCAUGGAUCUCUUAACAACUGCUGGUCCUUCCUAGCAGGUGUCUUUCUCCUUUCUGUUAAUAUAUAUUUGAAGAUAUGUUUUCUAGAAUCCUCCUAACAUAUUUGUAAUUUCUUUAAUUUGUACUGUAGUCUUUCAAAUUAAUUCUAUGAAACUGAUAAUAGCUAUCAGACAAUUGGAUACAUAGCCCACCUUUCAUGUUUAUUUUUGAAAAAAAUAAAAACUGCAUUCCCAAGGUCUUAGACAUUCGUAGUUUGUCUUGUUUCAUGAUUUCAAGGUUGAUGCCCUAUUAACAUGGGAAAUUAAUCACAAGGAAACAACUUUUGCCAGCAUGGCUGGCUAGCUAGGAUCGAGUCUGCACACAAUAAGGUGUGCAAUAUAAUAACACUUCCACCGUGCAACAAUAUAUAAUAAGCUCUAUUUGAAGUGGUUAUUACUUGAAUAUUAUCUUUGGCUUUAGUAAAACUUAAUAGUAUUGAUUGGACCUUUUGGGCCUCUUCAAAUUUGUAAUUAAUUUGCUUUGGUGACUGACUUUACUGAUAUGCAUACCAUAACAGCAGCAGACAAGAAAACAUUCUCUUUAAGAACUGGCCGGGUUGUGCUGAAGAACAAAACUCGCUUCAUAUUCUAUCAAACACAAACUGCAAUAAUAUUAUUUAAUUUCCUCCACGACUACAUAAGCAAAGCUAGUUUAGUAGUUAAUAAUAUAAUGAUGACCGUCUAUCAUUAUCAUAGACAUAUAACAUGAUUAGUUUAUAAAUGUCAGUGGUUGAUAGAGUACCAACGUAGAUGACAUAAAAUACAUCUCACGUUUUCCUUAAAUAUCUUCUAAAAUGAUCCUUAUAAACCCAUCUUCUUAAGGUGCUUUAAAUCUGCACAUGGGGUCCGCUCAUGCAUAUACUGAUAGACAUUACUCCAUACAGUAGAACUGCAAAAAUGUUGGUUAAAAACUCCCAUGAUUAGGGUUUUGAUGCUUCGAAGAAUGAAUAACAUAACGACUAGCUAAUUAUCUAUUCAUGCAGCCGGAGCAUAAUCAUAGCUGCCAUCAUCAUCAUCAUCAUCAUCAUCAUCACCCUCGAGGGAUGCUGCAGGGGUGCAGUCAUAGUCUCCGUCAUCAUCAUCACCAUUCCCUUCUAUGCAUGCUGCUGGAGCGUAGUCGUAUCCAUCAUUGCCAUCAUCAUCUCCAUCUGGAUGCUUCUUGUACCACGAGGCAACAAUAACCUUGGAGAGAAGAGACAUUUUCUUUCUACUGCUUCUGGACCAAAGGUGGAGUAAGAAUUAAAAACGGGGACUGGAACUUUGGUUAAUUGAUUUAUUUCUAUGGUCGUUGACCUGUAGAAUAAGAUAAUGAGUAGAGCUGAUGUAACUGUGGCUUGUUUUGGGAUUAAAUUAGUGACUCCGUAACGUAUGUUUUUGAAGGGAUGCCAGAAGUGAUUACAUAGAAGGUGAUCUUGGUCAAGAUGGUGGAUAGCUCGUUCUGCCACAAGGCAAGCACGUGAAGAGUGUGGAAUGAAGACCAAAGGUUGUGCUAUCUUGUGCACGACCCAACGCCGAGCAUAGGUGGCGAUACGUGGUCCAGCCACAUAAGCUGACAAUGCGGCAAAUUCUCCUGCGUUAGUACUAUUGUUGAUGGCCUUUGAUGUAUAGUAGAGGCAUCUUGGGGUCAAGUGUGAGAUCUUUUGGCAGGGUGGUGGGCUAGUGGGAAAAGUGAGGCUCAUUAUCUUCUUCAUGUGGUUUGGAACCAGCCAAAGAGUGGUGCCAUCAUCAUGGCAACACCCUGGUAUCCAUCGGAAUCUCAUUUUUCUCAACAUUUUAAAUUAGGACGAUCGAAAUUGUCUCCACUGAAGCAAGAUUUUAGUAGUAGCAGCAAGCUAGGCUACAAGGAUCGGGUCAGUGUUGGAAACAAAUAUCACGUGUGUUAUGGG